rnacentral:lncRNA from 1 species
GGAUUCUGAGUUGGUGUUUCAAUGCAGCCUUCAUCGUCUCUCUUCUCUACUUGUUCUCAGACUUUCAUGCCAAGAGUUACUCCACCAAUGCCAAGGUCUUCAAGGGUAACUAAUAAUUAAUUAAACUACCUUUUCUUUUCUUUUCUUUUCGUUUUCAUUUUUAUAUGUAGUUAUUGUUUCAGAGUGAUUCAUCAGUUGAAGAAAAAAAUGAACAUAAUUGUCAUAAAUUCCUUUUACGAUUUCAAUUCUUCGGUGUGCAUAUGUAUCUUAAUAUCAAUUAAUUGAAGAGAUUCAUUGUUAAUUUAUAUUUUAUGUUUUUACUAUAAAUGCAUGAUUAAACAGUUCCUGCUGUUGCAGAAGCGACGAUAAUAUUAAUAACAAUAUUAUCAGAAAUAUUUAGAUAAUUAUUAUGCCGACAAUUAUACUAAGAAAAUUCCCAGUUAAAUUGGAGGGGUCACAAAUGGUCCCGCUUAAAACCCAACAACUAGACAGAACUCACUUAGAUAUUUAUAGCAAUAAUAACUAAAUAAAUAUAACCAACAUAAAGCUAUUAAAUAUAAGCAAACAACUAAGAAAUAAAAUACCAGAGUUUUAACGAGGUUCGGCCAAUUUAACUUACGUCCUCGGACACUACCAAAUUAAUAUUUCCUCUAGAAAUAUUACAAUAGAGAAGAUUAACACCAAGUUACAAUUAGCUACUUGGAUUUUUGGAAUGAUAAAACCUAAGGGGGAAGGGUUCUAUAUAUAACAAACCAAACCCCCUCCCUUUCUAUCUUUUCCUAAUGUGGGAUAUUGCCAAUAUUCAACAAAUCUCCACCUUGGUGAUAUUCCACAUCUUCGAACAUCUUCUCAUAACACAAACUUCAAUAGUGUCUUCAAAUUUGCAACCAAUCGCCUUCUUCCCUUUUGGUAGUUGUGCCAGUUUCCACGUCUUGUUUUUCUCUAGAGAUUGCAUUUCCUCUUCCAUUGCACCUAACCAUCUAUUAUUCUCUAAAUUUUGAAUGGCUUCGGUGUAAGUGGAUGGAAUAUUAUCAACAACUGGAAGUGCAUAAGCUACCAUGUCAGUGAAACGAGCAGGUUUCUGAAUUUCUCGUCUCUGCCUUCUGACUGCAAUUGGCUCUGAUUGCUGUUGAGGUUCUUGGGUAGAAACCUCUUCCUCAUCUGACUCUGCAUCUGCCAAUGAAGAAUCACUAGUGGUACCUUCUGCUGGAAUUACCACUCUCUGCUCAAACUCCACCUGCUGCGGAGUACACUUCACCUGCUGCGAAGUACUACUCGAAGUACUACUCACUCCUUCUGGAUUUACCUUAUUCAACAUGGCAGAUUCAUCAAAGGUAACAUCCCUACUGAUUAUCGUCUUCUUUGCCUCUAGACACCACAAACGAUACCCCUUAACACCAGCAUUGAAGCCCAUGAAUAGAGCCUUCUUUGCUCUUGGAUCUAACUUUGAUUCUUUCACAUGAUAAUAUGCAAUAGAACCAAAAAUACGCAAGGUGUCAUAAUCAGUAGCAGGUUUUCCAUACCAUUUCUCCAAAGGAGUCUUGCCAUUUAUAGCAGAUGAUGGCAAAUGAUUGAUGAGAUGUUGAGCGUACGUCACAGCCUCAGCCCAAAACUUUCUAUCUAAUCCAGCAUUAGAUAACAUACAUCGAACUUUCUCCACAAGCGUUCGAUUCAUACGCUCUGCCACCCCAUUCUGUUGCGGUGUUCCACCUACGGUGAAGUGCCUUACUAUGCCACAAUCUUGGCAUAUCUUCAGGAAUGGAUCGCUUUUAUAUUCUCCACCAUUGUCUGAUCGGAGAACCUUAAUCUUCCUUCCUGUCUGAUUUUCAAUUUUAGUUUUCCACUUAAGGAAAACUUCAAGCACCUCAUCUUUGUUCUUCAUAGGAAACACCCAAACUCGUCUGGAAAAAUCAUCAAUAAAGGUGACAAAAUAACGUCUUCCUCCAAGUGAUGGAGUCUUGGACGGUCCCCAUACAUCAAAAUGCACAUAAUCCAGAAUACCUUUAGUAUUGUGAAUCCCAGUGCCAAAUUUCACCCUUCGUUGUUUUCCCAGAACACAAUGCUCGCAAAAUUCAAGUUUGCAAGUCUUUGUACCUUUCAAUAAUCCUUGCUUGGCUAGAGUUUGCAAGGAUUUUUCACCAGCAUGGCCCAAACGCAUAUGCCACAGCUGUGUUGCCUCAGCGUCCUUCUUGGUACUCGAAAUUGCUGCUGCUGUUGCCCCGACCACUGUACUACCUUGGUAGUAAUACAGAUUGUUCUUUCUUAUGCCUUUCAACAUCACCAAUGCUCCUGAAGUUGCUUUAAGAACUCCAUCUCGUAUUGUCACAACUAGGCCUUUAGAUUCUAACGACCCCAAAGAGAUGAGAUUCUUCUUCAACUUUGGGACAUAUCGUACAUCCCGCAAAAUUCUAGUAGAUCCAUCAUGACUCCUCAGUUUAAUUGAACCUAUCCCGGCUAUUUUACAUGUGUUAUCAUUACCCAUGUAAACAACCCCUCCAUCUAGUUUUUGAAAUUCAAAGAACCAUUCCCAAAUGGGACACAUAUGAUAGGAACAACCAGAAUCCAUGAUCCACUCAUCUGCAUGUGAUGUUGAAGAUGUCAUACUAAGAGAAAAGUCUGACUCUGCUUCACUAUUGCAUUCUGCAACAUUUGCAUCUUGCGGAGUCUUCCAUUUUUUCUUCAAUUUUGGACAAUCUUUCUUCCAAUGUCCUUUUUCUUUGCAAAAGGAACAUUCAUCUUUGGCAACAGCUCGACCUUUGGACUUUCUUCUCUUCCUCUUAGACUGACUUUCCUGACGAUCUCUUGUUAACAAUGCUUCCACUGCUGCUUCACUUGAACCUUUCAACUUAUCCUUUCGGCGUAGUUCAUAGCUAUACAAUGCAGCAGUUACUUCAUUGAAAGUUACUUCCGACUUUCUAUGAAGUAAAGUAGUUUCAAGGUACUCAAACUCCUUUGGAAGCGAUCCCAACAACAUAAACGCCAAGUCUUCGUCUUCAAAAGUCACAUCCAAAUUCAACAAAUCAACCACCAGCUGAUUAAAAUUGGUAAUGUGCUCAUUCAUCGUGGUACCAGGAACAUAACUGAAACGAAACAGUCUUUUCUUCAUAUGCAACUUAUUUUGACUGUUCUUCUUCAGGAAUUUCUCCUCCAAUGCUUUCUACAAUUUACUUGCAGAAGUCUCUUUACUGAAUAUAUACUUCUGCUCUCUGGAAAGACAUGAUCGAAUUGUACCACAUGCCAAUCGGUUGAUGGUCUUCCAUUCUUUAUCAUCAACCCCUUCUGGUUUUUCUUCCUCAAUGGCAAUAUCUAGACCUUGUUGAAAGAAGGCAUCUAGAAGCUCACUUUGCCACAUGCCGAAAUGACCUAUUCCAUCAAAAAUUUCCACUGCAAAUCUCGUAUUUGCAAUUCCAACCCUCGACAAAAUGUACGAAGUGGAAGUUGUUGAUAUGGAUGGUUUUUCUUCUGUCAUUUUUGCCAUAGCUUCUAUUUAAUAGCCACCAAAUGCGGAAUACCCACAAGCUUUAGGAAAUGUUUCUGAUGUGUAAGAUCAGACUAAGCUGCAAACACAGAGCAUACUACAAAACCUUGGCUCGGAUACCAAUUGUUGCAGAAGCGACGAUAAUAUUAAUAACAAUAUUAUCAAAAAUAUUUAGAUAAUUAUUAUGCCGACAAUUAUACUAAGAAAAUUCCCAGUUAAAUUGGAGGGGUCACAAAUGGUCCCGCUUAAAACCCAACAACUAGACAGAACUCACUUAGAUAUUUAUAGCAAUAAUAACUAAAUAAAUAUAACCAACAUAAAGCUAUUAAAUAUAAGCAAACAACUAAGAAAUAAAAUACCAGAGUUUUAACGAGGUUCGGCCAAUUUAGCUUACGUCCUCGGACACUACCAAAUUAAUAUUUCAUCUAGAAAUAUUACAAUAGAGAAGAUCAACACCAAGUUACAAUUAGCUACUUGGAUUUUUGGGAUGAUAAAACCUAAGGGGGAAGGGUUCUAUAUAUAACAAACCAAACCCCCUCCCUUUCUAUCUUUUCCUAAUGUAGGAUAUUGCCAAUAUUCAACACCUGCUGCAUGCAAUUGUAUUAUAUUAUCGUUUCUAAUGACGAAGAAAAUGGAACAACCGUGAAGUGAAAAAAAAAAAGUUGAUGAGAAAAAUAAAUCAAGGCGGACAUAGAAAUUGUUGUCGCAGUCAACAUUAAAUAUGGUAAGCAGGUGAGUUAAUAAGUUUGACAGGUCCUCACCAAAAAUUAACUUCUCCCUUUUAUCGUCAUAUGUAUUAUUUAAGAUAUUGCAUGCUUUUGUCGUUUUCAUUACACCAAUAUUUUAUGUCUAGUAAGUUUUGGAACAACACCUCAUGAUUCAUCCAUUAAAUUCCAAUUUAGCGUUAUAUAAGUUUUUUUUUCUUAGAGAAUAUUAAGAAAAUCCAGUGUCAUAUAUACACAACAUGAAAUAAAUUUGGUAAUAAAAAAAAUUUGAGAGUAGGGCACCAAAUUAUAGUCCAGUAUUUCAAAUUAAUUUGGUUAUAAGGUCAACAAUCAAUUAUGCAAAUGAUGUAAACCUAAGACACUACUUUAUCACAUGUAUUGUUUCUACUGAUUAGUUUUAAUCAAUUGAAGUUAAUUGGAAAUAAAAUAAAGUAAUUGAUUAUGAAAUUGAUAGAGAUAACAGGUCAACCAAAUGAAUUAUUUUUCCUAUAUUAAAUUAUAAAACAUUCAAAAUGUAGUUAUGACACACGAAUAAGAUUUAUAUAAAAUAUAUAUAUUUAUUAAAAUUUUAUAUGAAAAUCAAAUCAAAUGAAAUUGAAGUUUUUAAAAUUAUAAUGUUUAUGGUGAAUUCAAGUAACAUCUAAAACAAUCAUUAAAAAAAUUGGAGAUUAAUAAGUUAGAAUUGUUUGGAGAGAUCUUACUCAAAAUAAAAAUUACUUUGACGAAAAUCAUAUUAUUAUAUUUUUUAAUAUGAAAGCUUCAAUCUUAUCAGAUUUAUAAUUUUACUUUAUAUUAUUUUUAAUUCAUAUUGUAAUUAUAAUUUAUAAUGAUAAUUAUUUAUUAUUUAUUAUUAUUUUAAAAUUUCAUAACCUUCGUUACUUACGGUUUGUUUAAGGUUACACACAAAAUUAAUGAAAAAUUAUAACCUCUGCUGCUUGAGGUUUGCUUAAGGUUGUUCACAAAAUUAAUGAAAAAAUUAUAACCUUCAUCACUUAUGACUUGUGUUAUAAAAGGUAAAAAAAUCAAGACAAAUCAAUUCAUCGUGUUUUUCUUCAUCAAAUCUGAUAGACGACUUCAAUUAAACAUUAGAUAAAUCUCUAUUGAUUUUAGUUUGCAUAAUACGAAAAACUUCAAUUUUUAAAUUUGAUCCAAUUUGAAUUUAAAUUUUAUUUAAUAAAAUAUUUAUAUGAUUUUAAAUUAGAAAAUAUAUUUAAAAAGUAAAAAAAUACAGAUUUAAUAUUAAAAUUAAAAAUUAAUGUUUUAACUUAAUUAAAUUUAAAUAUUAAUAUUUAAUUUGGUAAUUUUAAUAUAUUAAAAUCCCAAAUAAUUCUAUCUAUUAAUGUACAAUUACAAAUUAAAUCAACUUUAUGCUCAAAAUAAUUUUUUUAAUAUAUAUAUGAAUUAUAAAAAUAGAAUUGUUCUAAGUUUUAUUCCAAAAUCAAAGUGUUAAAAUGGGAUGCAUUUCUUAUAUUAAUAUUUUAUUUUCAUAUUAAAAUAAUAAAAUGUAAAUUAAAAUGAGUUGAAAUUUAAUAAAUAUUAAAUUACACUUUCUAAUUAACUCCAAUUGCAUAUUGAUUGUCAUUAGGAUUAUCUAAUCACAUUAUUUUUAUAAUACAAAUAUGAGAAAAUAUUUAGUACAUCAGUGAAAUUUUUAACUUUCACAAGUAAAGUUAGAGAGUUUAACAAGUUAUAGGGAUAGAGUAAAAUAUUAAAAAAAAAGAGAGUCAUAUAACAAAAUUUUAAAGUUGUUUGUGAAAUAAAUAAAAAAAUACACUACCACUAUAACAAAUACUAACCUUGCAAAUAUAUUUACAAUAUAAAAUGUUUUAAAACAUUAAGAGUAAAUUAAAAUAAUAAUAAUAAUGUGCAACGCGUGUGGGGCUAAAAACUAAUAUAUAUAAAAUACAAAGUAAAAAAAUGGACUAAACUAGGUUUAAGUUUUGAGUAUUAGAGUUCAAGCUUGAUUCAUAUUUUAAAUGAGUCUAAUAUUUUUAUCUAAAACUAUUUUUAAACUUCAUAAUUUUAUUCAAAUCUAUUUAUUAUAUAAAAUCAAAUUCUUUUGGGAGUCAUUAGGAAUUAAUAAGGAUAAUUUUGGUAGUAAAAGUUAAAGACAAUUAUAUAUUUUGGAAAAAAUAAUUAUUUUAAAAUUUAAUAAAACUAACUCCCUUUUAGUAAUUAGGAAUUAAUAAGCACAAUUUAGACAUUAAAAGUUUAGAUAAUUGAAAUUUUUUAAUUACUUAUUUUAAAAUUUUUUAUUCCAUUUUAAUUAUUUGUAUUUAAAUUGUUCUUUUAAGUCCAAAUGAAAUUAUUUAUGCUUAAUUCAUUAAUCUUUUACCAAAAUUUUUUUUUAAAAAUUUUUAAUAAUUUAAUAAUUUAAUUUUAAUAUAAAAAAUCUAUAUUCCAAGAAUUUACAUACCAAAAUGUAUAUAAAAAAUUUAGAUAGUAAGUUGAUGUUUUUAAAGGAAAAGGUGAGUAAAAAAUAAAAUAUUUUUAAGAUUAUUCAAAAGAUAAUAUCUGCAGUAGUAUCAGUAUCAGUAUCAGUAUCUAUAUGUAUUAAUAUCAUAUUUACUUUUGUUUUCUUCUAAAUUUAAAUUGGUUAGUUUCUUUAGUUUUACUUAAUAUAUUAUUAUUAAAAAAUUUAAUAAAUUUUCAAUUGAACUUUAAUUUCAGCUACACAUUUUGUAUAUGGUAAUAUUUGUUAUUAAGAAUAUUUGAUAUAUUAAUUAGCUUUUCAGUUACAAGUUUUUUUUGUAUAAAUAUUGUUCCAUCUUAUUAUUUUAUCCUAAUUUUCGUUUGAUCGUAAUUUUAUCUUAAUUUUUAAUUUUUUUUUCUCUACUAAGAGGUUAGUUUUUUAAAUGGAUACACGUGUUUACAUGCUAUUUUUAAAUAAAUUAUUAGUUUUUUUUAUCUAUUUCUUUGUUUUUCAAUGUCAAGCUCGAGUCUAAAACUUUUUUAUUUUUAAAUUGAGAGUAUAAUUUUUUUUCUAGUCUUCGUCGUAUUCUAACAUAAAAAAUUAAAAAUCCAUUAAUAACACUAUUUACUAAUAUUAUACAAAUAUAUAUCCAAAAUAGAUUACAAGAUUUCCUUUUAUGUCCAUUUUUAAUAUUUUUUUAUAAUAAUUCCAUGCAAGGGAAAAAUCAGGAUUUUAUUGUUUGAAGUUUAGAUAAAGCAUUUCUCUUUUCAAUUUUCUUACUCUUUUUUGUUGCACGUGAAAAAGUUAUUGGUGCUACCGCCCAGCUUUGGAUAUCAUUCUAUAUUUAAAUUGGGUAUAUUUCAUUUAUAUGAUUUGACAUGUUGAUGGCAUAUUUUAUAAAAUCAUAACAAUUUUCCAUAUAAGGUAAAAUUGUAUUUUAGAUAUCUAUUAUUGAUAGUAGUAAUUAAUUUUUUUGCUGGUAUUUUUUAAAGAGAUAAACGAUUAAUCAUGAAAUAUGCUCUAUUCUUAAUAAAGAGGCAAUGGAAGAAGAUUGUAUUUGAGUUGUUCGAUUAAAAAUUUUCAAAAUUGACUUGGAAAGAAGAAGUCAAAUAGAUUUAAAAAUAAUAAUAAAGAAAAAAAAUACAGAAACAACUAAAAGAAAAAAAUUAAGAACAAAGAAUAAAGAUUUAAAACAAUAAAUAAAUAAAACGAAAAUUAAAAAGUGGUUUAAAAAAUCGAUUGAUAUAAUAGCUAGAUGAAUAAGUGUCCAAUUGAACCAUUUGAGACAAAAAUCACAACAAAUUCAAUUAAUAACUCUAAUGGAACUCUAAUUAAUCUAAAUAAAAAAAAAUUAUAUGAUAAAGCAAGUUCUGAUGAAAAAUUCCUAUUACAUAGUGAGAUGACAAGUAAUGGAUUUUGAUAACAAUUUUUAUUAAAGUGGGAAGUGAUAAUGUAGUGAAUUAAUUUGGUAAAAGUUUUGUUCUUGUCAAGCCAUGAAAAGAUAAAAGUAAUAAAUUAUGGUAAUAAUGAAUCAUAUAAAUAUGGAAUUAUCUGUUAAUUAUUAAAAUAUGCUUUAUUAAGAUAUGUUCAAGAAUUAUAAUAGUAGUAAUUUUUUAUAUAUAGAGUUUAAGGUAAAAAAAAAGAGAUUAUUCCUGGGUACUUACUAAGCUUUUACAAGUGUAACGUGUGUUUUAAACACGUAGAUGGAAGAUCGAAUUAAAGCUCUAGAUUCAGGUUGAGAUUUCAACUCAUCUCAUCUCAUAACCAAGGUUUGAAGAGAGUACAAAUUUGAUAUUUUGGUUAUAGAAUAUGACAUGUACACAAGUUAUUGCCAGUGUUUUGAUAUUUUGAGUUUUAUAAUGAUUAGUUGACGUGAAAUAGUCGAAGUUGCUUCGGCAAUUAAUGUAACAUCUCAGUACUUUGACCCGAUGUUUGGGUCGGAUAUGAGGGUGUUACAUUGUUGGUAACUAUUUUGUAACUUUUCAUAAUUAGGUGACAAAAAAUUUCACUAAUAGUUAGAUAUUAAUUUUAUAAUUUUUCAUACUUGGGUGAACAAAAAGAAUUUACUAAUAGUUGAAGAAUUUACUAAUAGUUCAGUGAGUAAUAGUUUGAUUUACCCAAAAAUCUAUGUACUUACAAGUUACAAGAGGGGUAGGCUAAUUACCCCCUAUCCAUAAAUGAAUUCAUUACUGGCGGACCAUUAUCCAUAAAUGAAUAAACAUAAACAGGAAUGCAGUGGAAGUGGAUGGAUCAAUGAUAUCCAGUACCGGUAGGCAGUUGAGGUAGAGAAAAUAUUGGGUCAUACUUUUCAGUGCUUUUAAAGGCAAUCCCCCUCCCCUCCUCCUUUUUGCUGCAGCUUUAUUAACUGACGUAGUGCUAGAGUAGUAAAGGCAGCAGCAAGAUGGAAGUCCCCUUUUUCCCAACCCUUUUCUCCUGUAUCAAAGGCUUGGUGGUGCAACAAGCCUUGUUCUCAACCUUGGAGGAUUGGCUAGUGAAGCAUCCCAAAAUCCUCCAGUUUUCAUGGGAAAAUGGCCAAACACCAGCCUCCUCUCACCGCUUCCUCACCCUCACUGUCUUGUCUUACAUCUCUUUCACCUUCGUUCUCUCCCAACUAUCUCGCCCUUCACUUUCACGUCCACUCCUCAAAUCAAUCGCAGCCGUCCACAACAUCUUCCUCCUUACCCUUUCUUUCAUCAUGGCCCUGGGUUGCCUCGUUUCCAUCUUCUCCCAGGUGCCUAACUUCAACACCCUCGUUUGCUUCCCUAGGGGUACAUCCCCAUCGGGCCCUCUCUUUUUCUGGGCAUACAUCUUCUACCUCUCCAAGAUUGUUGAAUUCAUGGACACCCUUUUGAUCAUCCUCAGCGGAUCCAUGAAGAGGCUAUCCUUCCUUCACGUCUACCAUCACUCCAUGGUGGUCAUCAUGUGUUAUAUUUGCUUAGACAGUGCUCAGUCCUCCGUACCCAUGGUGCUGAUCACCAACUGCGUGGUGCAUGUCGUAAUGUACUCCUAUUACCUGUUGUGCACCCUGGGGAUGCACCCCAAGUGGAAGAAAAUGGUGACGGAUUUUCAACUGGUGCAGUUCCGGUUAAGCUUUUUGAUCAUGGCCAUGCUUGUGUUCUACCACUUCACUGCUUCUGGCUGCUCUGGGAUUCUGAGUUGGUGUUUCAAUGGAGCCUUCAACGUCUCUCUUCUCUACUUGUUCUCAGACUUUCAUGCCAAGAGUUACUCCACCAAUGCCAAGGUCUUCAAGGGUAACUAAUAAUUAAUUAAACCAACUUUUUUUUGUUUUUCCAUUUCGUUUCCAUUGUUACAUGUAGUAAUUGUUUCAGAGUGAUUCCGUUCAAGCUCAUGAAUCUGGUAUAGAAUCUUAAUUGUGAAAGCUGGUAUUGUCAAACCAAGGAGGAUGGAGUUCAUGUUCCAUUUAUUUUAUUGAUUGAAUGAAUAAGUAGGAUAAAACAUUUGUGUACCACUUUCCAAGGCUUUUGUGAGUUGAGCCUUACUGUUUGAUAGUUGAAAUUCGAGGGACGGUUUUAUUUGGUGAAUGUUUCGAAGUUUCCGAAACUCUAUGGUCGAGUUUUAUUAUCACUUUAGCUGGUAUUUCAAGUUAACUUUGUGUUCAACUUUUAAGGAUGAUCUCUGAAGUCUUCGAUUUUGCUUGUAUUUUCAUCUUUGUAAGGGCAGAUGCUAUCCUUUUAUCAAUAAAUUCACUAUAACUUAUUCAAAAACGUUAGUACCAAAAACUCGUUACUUUAUUAUACAUCUAUUUCAUUGGUUACCUAAGAUAGAAACAAUGAUUACCAACAAGAUUUCCUGUGUCAGUGGAAGGCAGUGAUAAGUCUGCCGUCAUCCAUAAACAAAAAUAAAUGUCCAUAUUGUAUAUGGCUUUUUGACGAAAAUAAUAUACCCCAACUAUUUAUUAGAAUUUAUUAUCGACAAGGCCACCUGGCCAAACCCGUAAGUGGAAUAAAAUUAAAAAAAAAAGUUUAGAUAAAAAAAUAAGAUUCGUUUUUUAAAUAAGUCGGAUCUCGGAAAAAUUUUUUGGUUCGGGUUCGGCUUAACCCAACUUGAAUAAGCCUAAACUUCUUUACAUGUUUUAUUAUUGUUAUAUCAUUGUUUUACUAUUGUUAUAUUGUUGUUUUGACAUCAUUUUACUAUUAUAUUGUUACUAUUUUAUUGUAAUUGUUUGAAUAUUAUAUAACUCUUAUUUUAUUGUUAAUUUUGUUACUAUUUUAGAUGCAUUUACUUGUUAAGUUGCAACUAUCUUAGUAUUAUUUAAAUAUAAAGAUUUUUUUAAUACAUUUUUUUAAAUAUUAUAUAAAAAUAAUAUAAAAAUACGGACAGUCGGGUUAGAAUAAAAUUUAACAUUUUUAAUUUAGAUAAAAUUUGAGCAGAAUUUUAAGUUCACUUUUCGAGCUCGAGCUUGGGCCUAAAUUUACAGCCCAAACCGACUCAACCCAGCCCAUCCCAUGAUCAAAUGUACUAUUUACCGAAAUGGAAUGGGGUUCACCAGGGUGGGCAAAUUGGCCUAUAUGUGUCAGGGGAGCAGGGAGAUGCUGAAUCGGUGCAUGGGUUCCUUGCUCCCUUGACAGAGACAAGCCCUUUCAUUGUGGGAAUUUGGGAAAAAAUGCCAGAAUCCAAAAGUAAAAACAACUUUUUGGUUAAUAAGAAUAGCUUGUAUUCAAAACAACCCUUUUUUUUAAUAAAAAAAAAUCUGUUGUGAAGAUCUUCAGAGAAAAAAAAAAGUACCACUUGCAAAAAUGGAGAAUGAUUUCAUUGAUCUAAAUAUGCUUAAUCUUAGAAAAACAAUAUUGCAUUUUGUAGUCAUCACUGACUCAAAAUACUAAAAAUAGCCAAUUUUAUACAGAAGAAAAUUUAGUAGAAAGAUUGAUGAAUUAAAAGAUUGACUAGAAAGGCCAAAUUUAUCGGUCUAAAGUUGGCUUUGUUUUUAAAUCCAAUCAAAAGGUUGGCGUAAGGUUCAGCCAUGAUACUAAGAUUGAUGAAUUAAGAAGAAAGAUUGACACGAAAAAUAUCCCGUCAUUGUGGAAGUUAUUUUCAUGUUAUGAGUUGCAAAGGCACCAGUGUAACCAAUGGAUGGAAAGGCUUUAAGGAGAAGUUGGCCAAGGGUAAUUGAUUGGUUCAAUUCUACGGAACAUUAUCAAUUAUCAAUGGGCCCAAAGUUUUGACGUGACGAUGGGUCUCGAUACAGUCAUAUGGCCACAAAUUUAGCAAAGGCAAUAAACUCCAUAUUUAAAAGAGUUCGUCAUCUACCAUUUUCAAUUGUAUUCUCGACAAUGCUCUAUAGGUUGGUCGUGUUGGUGCCACUGAUGUGUACAAAGCAGCAAAAACAAAUAGAGGCAGGGAACAUUUACUCGGAGGAUUGAAGGAAAGCGAUGGUUGUGAACAUAAUAAAAACAAACAAAAUGUUAGUUCAACUAUACUUUGACGUCCAUCAGACCUUUCAUGUGAUUGAAUUUGUUGGCGUUUGGGCAAGCAUCCUGCCUAGGUCAUUUCGUGUUGAUCUUUUGAAUAGAUAAUGUAAUUAUGAGUGAUUUCAAAAAUUCCGCUACCCAAGUUGCCACGCCGUCACUGCACGUGUCAAUCAUCAACCAAUUGCUAUCAAUUUGUCGACGAAGUGUACAACCUAAAAGAAUAAAGUGAGUUUGAGAGAACGAGUUUCAGCUAAUGACAAAUAGAGCGACAUGAGAAUUCGCAUCCCCUGAAAUCUAUAUAAUCCUAGAAAAAGGAUUACGUCUAAAACCCGUGAGAUGACCAAAAUCACGGAGGAUUUGCACCAAUAUGAACAAAAGAUAAGGACAUGAAUUAUAUAUUUUUUAUAUUUGGUUAAAAAUUAACCGAAUUAUCCGAAUUAACUGAAUUACCCAAAUUACCCGAAUUAACCGAAUUGAAUCACUACAUAUUAAAAAUAUUACAUAAGUCUUGAAAUUAACACAUAAAUUAUUUGUAAUUUUUAUUAAAUUAUUUGUAAUUUUUAUGAUUGGGUUGGGUUGGGUUGGGUAAUUAUGUUGGGUUGGGUUGGAUUGGGUUUAGGUGAAUAGUGGGCCUAUUUAUAUAUUAUAAUUUUAUUUAUUAAUUUUUUUAGUUAAACCGAAAAAAUUCGGUUAACCGACCAGUUUUGAACCGAAUUAACCGUUAACCAAAAAAUAAAAAAAUAAUUAAUCGACUCUCGACUGAAAAAAUUUGAUUAACCGACAUAUUAACCAAAUCCAGUCAAUUUAACCGAAUUUUUUCGGUUUUAUCUGAAUUUUGCACACCCCUAAUCCUCGGAACUGCUGAGUAGUGUUAACUUAUUUCGAAUCGUGCCAAUUUGCUGCAAAAUUGCAACCCCACAUGAUUAUGAAUGGUCAAUUUAAUUACGUAUGUAAUACUCUAUUUUGGCCCGGGUCAAAAGAGCCCAAAUUACAAACGGGCCUAUAUGGCCCAAAAUGAAAUAAAACAAAGGCCCAAAUUACAGUGGCCCAAAAUCAUCAGAAACCCUAGGGUUUCUAAUCUUUAGCCGUCGCAGCUAAGAUCUACAUGAGCCGCUGCCCCCCACGUGCGUAUCUUCACCUGCACAGCAAGAAAAAGAAACAAGGCAGUAUAGGCAACGAAUAUGGCAAGAAAAUCAAGAAGAUCGCGAAUCAAGCAGAUAUGAAUGGAUCUUCUUUUCAUUUUUUUUUUGUUUCAUUGUUUGCUAUAAAAGCACACUAAAAAAUACUGUAAAAAAUAAGAAAAUACAAAAAAAAAUACUGAGAGGAAAGUGAUAUAAAUUUUUUUUGAAUACAAAAGGUGAUUUUCCAUUUUAUUUACUCAGUGUUCAUCAUUCUUAGUUUCGUUUUGUUAUUUUUUUUCUUUUUAUUUUUUAUUUAUUUUUCGUUUGAAAUAUAAAAAAAAGGAGAAGGGAAACUUACCUCUUUCGCCGGAGUCGUCGAAUCAGUGCCACCUCCGUCGCGUUCGGAGCCUUGGCACACGGUUGAAUGGCGGCGCAGAGAACGGUUGAAAGAAACCCUAGCAGAGCCACUGUAUUUAAAAAAAAGGAAUAGAAUGAUUUUAAUAUUUUUUUCAGCUUUGUUUAAUUUAAAGAAAGACAAAACAGCGCCAUUUUGAAAGGGCCAUACCCGCGUAUCGACCCGACCCGCAAUCAGGGUCCGCGCGUUCGGGCCUUGAAUGGGGAAUUUGCGCAUUAAGCCCUCCUUUUUGCAACGCGUUUUAAUUAAAUCCAUUUCUUUUUUUAAUUUGGCCCGUAUGUUUCUACCUUUGUUCACUUCAGCACACAUCACUGCGCAUCGUUUUGGGGAGACAGAUUAUUUCCAUUUUGGCCCCCUCAUAUAAUGCGCGCGUGGCAAAUUGGUCCUCCGUUUUAUCUUAAUUUCAUUUAUUGGUUAUUUUGUGUUUUUUAUUCGUUUUUUAUUUAUUUUUAUUUUUAUCAUUACUAUUAUGUUAUUUAUUAUCAUUUAUUAUUAUUUCUAUAUUUAUACGCAUUUCAUAAUAUAUAUGUAUUUUUAUAACAUAUAUAUUUUUAAACUUUUAUAAAUACAUACAUACAAACAUAUUUUAAUAUAUAUAUACUUUUAUAUUUUAGUUUCAAAUUUUUUUCAUCCUUUUUUACUUUUGUAAAUAUGUAUGUACGUGUAUUUCCACAUAUGUAUUUUAUGUAUUUUUUUCAUAUUUUUUUACAAAUAUAUAUAUACACAAAUAUACAUACACAUUUUAGAAUAUACAUAUGUUUCCCAUAUUUUAUAAUUUAAAAUAUACAUUCAUUUUCUAUAGUAUAUAUAUACAUUUUCAUAUUAUAAACAUUUUUAUUGUUCUAUAUAUUCCAUUAUUAUAUAUACAUAUUGUACAUAUACAUAUAUAAUUCAUAUCAAAGUAUUUGUUUUGUGUUAUACAUUAACAUUUUAUCAUACUUUUAAAGAAAUAUAUUUGGUUUUAUCAAAGCAUUAAAAUCAUUUUUGUUCAAAGGCUUUCAAGAUAAUGCGAUAUUCGGUAUUUGGGAUUUUCAAGAAAAUUGAACCCUAACGUAUUGGGUUCUGAUUUUCUUCGUUAAACCUAACAAUUGAGAAUUGCUCUUUGAUCAAAAAUAAAAUGAAAAAGCUUGUUGUUGAGAAUUUAAUAUGUUGUGUCCUAACGCAUUGGAUGUGACGUAUUGAUUUCUCGAGACAAAGAUUUUUAAAUAUAUAUAUAUUAAUAGAGGAAAUAUUUAAUGUUUGGGAUGUUGAGAAAUUGUGCCCUAACGUAUUGGGCUACGGCUUUGUCAUAAAUCUUAAACAAUUGAAUCUUUUUUUUAAAUUUUAUCACACAAAUCUUUUGGAUAAACUCAUCUUGAAGAAAUAAAAUAUCGUGCCCUAACGCAUUGUGUGUGAUGUUUUCUGUUUCAAAAUGAGAGAGUCUUAAUAAAUAAUUUAAUUUGAUUAAGGAUCAUAUUUUUUAACUCUCGACAUUAAGACAUUUAUUAAUCUACGUGGUACCAAUUUUUGGGCGUUACGAGGGUGCUAAUCCUUCCUCAUACGUAGCUGACUCCCGAACCCGUUUUUCUAAAAUUCGUAGACCAGGGUCGUUUUUAGGUGAUCCAAUCACACCUUAAUAAAAGAUUGGUGGCGACUCCCAAUUUUUGUUUUUUUUUUUAAAGUCGACAACUAAUUUUUUUUCCAAAAAUAAAAAAUGGUUUCGACAACGUACAUUAUCAAAAUUGGGUUGCCCGAAACUUGAACCGAUGGGAUGGUUCAUUGGCAACCCUCUUCCCCAUACUCUUUUAAUUUCCAAAACCUCCAAAUCGUGAUAUGAGGUACCGAUUUGCCCACCCCGGCCAACCCUCCAUGCCAUUUCGAUAAAUAAUUGAGGGUAUAUUAUUUUAGGCUUAGUUUGGAUAGGCGGUGUGUUUAGCUCCGAUGAGGUUAAAAACAGCGGUGGCGGUGAGAUUAGUUACUGUAGCGGUGAGAUUGGAUACUGUAGCAGUGAGAUUAGAAACAAUGGUGGAGUGUGUGUUUGGAUUCAAACGCAGCUGUAGUGGUGAGGUGAGAAUAAGAAAUUACUAUUAAGGACAUCAUAUUAGAAUUGAUAUAUAAUAGAAGUUUUUUAAUUAUUUUACUUUUAUAAAAUUAUUAAAAUAUGUGAAUUUAUAAAUUAAUUUAAUAAAAUAUUAAAAUGUAUCUUUUAAUAUUUUAUUAUAAAUAUUUUAAUAAACUAUAUAAUCAAUUUAAAUUAUAUAUAAUAAAAUAAAAUUUUAUCUAUUUUUUAAAAAUAAAGUUGUACUUAUUUAUUAACUAUAUUUUUUGUUUAUUUUCAUACAUCUAUUCAUUUACGUGUAAUUUUUAUUAAUUAUAUUUCUAAUUAUUUUUCAUAUAUUUAUUAAAUUAUAUAAAAUUAAAUAUUAUUAAAAUAAAAAGUAUUAAAUAAGUAUAGUGAUUUAUUUAAAAUAGAAAUUAUCUAAAUUAUUUUAAAUUUUAUUUUAAGAUCUUAAAUAAAAACUAAUAAAUAAUAAAUAAAACUACAAUCUUUAAAAUAAAAUGAAGACAUUAAAAGACAACAAUUGAAGGAAGGUUAAAAUAGGAAGUAAAUAAAAAUAUAUAUUAAAAAUUUAAAAUUAGGUGAGAAAGAACCUUCUCUACUGCAACAUAAACCCUCAGUCAAAAUAUAAGGGUCCAGUGAGAUCAGAGUGCUCCAAUCGUGCUGAUGCUAUGUAAUCCAAAGGCAGAAAAAUGGUGCGUUUAGGCCAAAAUCUCAUCGCACUAGGGGCCACUGGUGAUCCAAAGGGACCCUUAAUCAAAAAGCCUUUGUACAUUGAUGAAGUACUACUAGAACAAUUAAUUUAAUUUAACUAUAAAAACAAUUUAAUGGUAUUUACAAAAAUCAACUACAUUUUGUCGUUAAUAUAGAGUGUUGCAUACUUGAGUUGAGAAUGAGUGUAUGGAUUUUAUAUUCACGAAUAUGCUAUACAUAUUUUUUAAUUUAAUACUUGUUUUAUUAGUUUUUCAAACAUAAACAGCUAUACAUAUUUUUUUUAGCGAUUAAAGUAUUACAUAUUUAAAUUAAAUAAUAUAUAAAAACAAUACAUGAAAGUAAGUUUUUGUCAUUUUUUUUCAUAGAAAAGCUUUAAUGGUUAUUGUCGAAACCAUUUUUUUUAUAAAAGUGGGUCGACUUGGAUUUUGAAAAUGAAAACGAAAAUGGGAGUUGCCACCAAUCUUUUUUGAUGAGGUGUGAUCGGAUCACCUCGAAAAGUGAUUGUUUUUAAUAAGCGGUUUGAUUUUAUUAAAACAACGAUUUUGGUCCACGAAAUUCAAAAAAAUAGGUUUGGGAGUCGGUUAUGUACGAGGAAGGAUUAGCACCCUCGUAACGCCCAAAAUUGAUACCUAGUUGAUUAAUUAAUGUCUUAGUAUUGAAAAUUGAAAACUUUGAAGAGAUUUAAAAUACGAUCCUUUAUUUAAAAUGCUAAAUUUUUUUAAGAAAAUGGGUAUUUUUCACAUUAAUCGAGAAGGAGAAUUAUGUCCCCUAAGUUAGGACACAAUGUCUUGAAUUCCCGAUACGAGAAUACAUGCCGAAAAAUUUAUUUAUUCGAAAGAUAUUCGAUGAUCUCGGUUUAAAAAAAGAUCAUAUUCCGUAAGAGCACGAUCUUUUAUUAAUUCCCGAGAUUAUUUAAAAAAUUUAUGUUUGAGAAGAUUCGUGUAUUUGGAUUUAUCGAGAAAAUUAAAAUCCCGUAAGUUAGGGUACGACUUUUCCGAAUCUCAAAAUACGAAAUGCUAUUUAUUUAAAACAAAUUUUGAUAUAUCGAGUAAAAUAAAAUACGAUGUCGUAAUAAAAAGAAUGCGAAAACAAAUUACAUUGUUGAUAUGUAUAACAAAACAAUAAUGAAUACGAUGGUGUAAAAAUAAUACAAGAAAUAGCAACGAAAAUAAGAUAAAUAAAAAGGACAAAUCAAUAGCAUACAAAAUAACAAGUAUAUAAGCAAGUAAAAGUAAAACAUUAUUUUAAAAUGAUAAUGAAAACAUAAAUAAAUAAUUAAAUAAAUAAAAUUAUAAAAAUGUAAAAAGAUAUAUGUAUGUACAUAUAUAUAAAAAUUAUAAGAUAUAAUAAAAUAUAUAUAAAAGUAUGUAUAUAUAUUAUAAAAAUGUAUGCAUGCAUAUAAAUAUAACAAAAUCUGAAAUUUAAAAUGUAUAAAUAAGUAAAUAAUAAUAAUAUAAGAUUAAUGGUAUAAUACAAUAAUGAUGAUAACAUUAAAAUAAUUAAUUAAAUAAUAAAAUAGCUAAAAACAUGGACUAAAUUGAACUAAAAACAAAAAAAUAGGGCGAAUUUAAAAUAAAUGAAAAGAAAGGACUUAUUUGAACGCGCGAAUAACAUGGGGGAACUGGAAGGAAAAUUUUCCCUUCUCCUCCAAAACGAUGCCGUUCAAAUAAGGGCUAAGCUGUAAACGUGACAAAUUCUGGGGUACAAUUUAAAAAAAAAAACUUAAUUGUAAAAGCAUUUAAAAGAGGAAGGGCUAAAAGUGUAAUUAGCCCUUCCGCAAAAAAGCACGCGUACCUGAGGGCAUCUGGGUCGGGUUUUGGGUCAGGAGCCCAAAACGACGUCUUUUUGGGGCUUUCCUGACCCUUCCAAAAUGGUGUUGUUUCAAAGUGCUAUUUAAACUAAUUAAAAAAAACAUUUCUGCUUAAAUCUCUAAAAAAAAGGUUGAAAAACCUCUAUUUUUUCACUUCCUCCUCUCAUGGAAUCCGACCAUGACGCCGGUGAGCUCGCGCGGUGGCUCCGCCGUAGCCCCGCUGCAGCUCCGUCAUGUCGGAAAGAAGAAGAAAAAUUCAAAUCUUCCCCUCUUUAACUCGUUUCCCUUUUUUGGUGUAGCCUAAACGAAACCCUAAAGGGUUUCUAUGGCUUUGGCACACAAAGGGAACCAAUGAUGGUGGUGCGCCGCAAGUAGACGGGUAUGUCUGAACUCUGUUUGUUUUUUUUAUAUUAGAUUUUAAGGAAAAAUUCAAAUAAAAAUCAAUGAAAGUAAAAUAAAACAACAGAGAAAUAAGGGAAAAAUCACCUUUGAAGUCUCGGUUUAUUAUUAUUAUUUUUGUAUAUUUUUCCAAAAAAAAUCCCAUUACAGUCGGUUCAAAGGCUUUUUAUUGCCGAUCUUGUUUUGGUGUAUAUGUGAGAUUUGCCAAUAUAAGGGUGUCGCCAGACCUAUUAGGAACGUUCUUGAAAGGUAUUAUCAUGAUAGAUCAUAGUGAUAAUGAUAGAUCUGAGAUGAUGAUAAGGAGAAAAGGUCAUCUGAGACUUGGCCUUUUGUGCAUCACUAAUGCGUGGGUCGUUUGGUAUUUUUGGCAAUUUUUUCUUGGUCAAUCGGUGUUCAUCGUCAGGUUAAUUUGAUGAUGGCGAGGCUAGGAUGCAAAUUUCAGUGGUUUAAUCAAGUUGAUGCAUCUUUGGUUUGUUUCUAAAAAAUUCUAGUGUUAUAGUUUUUAACAUCCCAUACCCAACCCAAUCGUCGAGUUCGAACUAUAAGAUAUCAUAUUCAUUGUUGAAACAACUACAAACAAUUAUAUUCGAUAUUUGACAAUAAAAAUCUAUAUGUGAGCCUCUCAUGCAUAAAACAUGUUAUAUAAAUAUUUUCGCGUUAAUUAUGAACUUACGAAAGCUCAAUAACAUCUCGGGUUAAUUGAGCUCUCAUCCGGCUAUGCUUUUAAUUAUCGUUUCACUAUUAGGUAGAAAUUAAAAGCAUUGAUUUUGUAUUAUUUAUUUCAAUUUAAUUGUACAUGAAAUAAAUAAAUAAAUAAAUUCACACAUGUAAUAAUAUUAAAAUAUUAAAAUAAAAAUAAAUAUUAUUAACUCACCUCGCAAUAGUCCUAGUUACUCCAUAUUUCGAAGGGUGCUCGAGUUUAGAGGAAUAGUCUAGCUUUUUAACUAUGAUUAUUAUUGUUAUUGACAAUUGUUGUCUUCAAAAUUUUGUCGCUCGACAACCAUACAUUAAUUACAAUCAUGGGCUCCAUUUAAAUUUAUUUUUGUUUAUUUGCCUUAAUUUACUAUUCAUUUUUAUUUUAAAAAAUAUUUUUAUGAAUAUUUCAUAAUUAAAUUUAAAUAAAAUAAAUUUUAUUUAAUAAAUAAUAAUUUAGGAGUUUAUAUUAGGUUUAAAUCACAUCUAAAUUCAUUAUAUAAUUUACAUAUCAAAAUUGAAACCAAUAUAUUUCAUACAUUAAAAAGGUUUUAAGAAGGCUUUUUGGUGUAAUCCCCAAUAAAAAGAGAAGUCAGUGGAGACCAAUUUCUUUUUGUCUCUCUUUCUCUUAUCUUUUUUUAUGUUCUUAUUAUUUUAAAAAAUAUAAUUUCAUUUAUAUUUCACUAUUUAAAAUUUAAAAAAUAAAUUAUUUAUAUAUUUGUUAGCCUUUCAAAUAAUAUUUUAUACCCUAAUAAUUAUUUUAUUUUGUAUCAAUAUUAAGUCUCACCGAAUAUAUUAUUGUGAAGGAGUUUAUGUUUGGAGUUUUUGUAUUUAACUUUGGGGGUAACAACAUGUUGACAUUUUGUGUGAGCCGAAGAGUGAUGGAAAAAACAAAAACAAAGGCACCAAAACUGGGGUAUGCGUUCGGCCAAAAACAACAUAUUAAACGUUUCCAAACUAUUAACCCAAAUAUAACAUGAAAAACAGAAAUGAGAUUGAAGAAGCAAGCAACCAUUAGUUUGUUUGUUUCAUUCCUUUUUCUUUUCUUCCUUUAAUGGCUCCUUCUAUUUCUUCUAUUUUCAUUUCCCACACUUUCAAUUCUUUCGCUUCCUUCACUAACUGCUCUAAAAACAACAAAAACCACACUACUCCACCUUCACAACAUAAAAAUCAUCAACUUUUUUCUUCUUCUCCAGGAAAAGUGUCUUUCGCCGCUGCAACAGGGGAGCUUUUCUUGGGAAUUGCGUCAAGAUUUAUUAAAAGCAGUUCCAAUUAUGAAGAUUCAGGCUCUACAAUCCCUGUUUUCAGCAGACCCAGAAAGAGAAUCAAUAGGAGUGAGGCUGGAAACAAUGAUAAGGACAGAAUUGGGUUAGUGAUGGAGGAUGAAAUUGAGCCAGAGGUGAUAUGGGAACAACGAGUCAAGGAUAUUGAAGCUGAAAAAGAAAGAAGAGUGGUUACUAGCCCUGGUUUUAGCUUCUCUGCUGCUGGCCUCUUGUUUCCUUAUCAUCUUGGAGUAGCCCAGUUCCUCAUUGAAAAGGGUUACAUAAAGGUUUGAUCUUUUGCUUCCCCCCCCCUCAUUUGACAGAAGUAGAUUGUAUGAUUGUUCAUCAAUUCAGUUUGAUUUCUGUUAACUGGCAGGUUCUUGUUUAUUUGUAGGGAAAUUCAUUUAGAAAUCUCUUUCUUUUGAGAGAAGCUAGAAUUGAAGAAUCUUGGCUUUCUUGAGCUCUAAUUUUAUGCUAUAAGCAAGCAUAUGAAGUUAACUGAUGGUGCCUAUUUUAAAGUAGAUACCGUAGUCCGUAUAUUUUCUAGAAAGUAACAAUUUGAAAACAUAAUUAAACUUGAUCACUAUUCUGUUAACCUUGGUUUUUUUCUUAACGAAUGUACAUGGUCCAGUUUGGAUGUUGAGUACUCUUUGAGUUCUUGAGAACACUGACAAACUCUUUAUAUGACUCUGUGCUGUAAUAUUUCAUCAUGAACCACUCUGGCCAUACCUAAUAUUUCCUUUUUUCCACUCUGAUGCAGGAAACCACACCUUUGGCUGGUUCAUCUGCUGGUGCCAUAAUAUGUGCAGUGAUUGCUUCUGGAGCUAGCAUGGAUGAAGCCUUAAAAGCUACUAAGGACCUGGCGGAUGAUUGCCGGCUUAAAGGGACUGCAUUUCGUCUUGGGGUAUGCCUAGGCCUAGCACAGUGACUUAUUUGUGGCUUAAUGCACUUAGAGUUAGCAAUAAACUAAUUUCAAUUGGUAACUUUUAGCCACUCACAUGACUUGUUUGUGGCAAAGAGAAGGAAAAUUUUUGCUUAUUUUGGUUAGCUCUUGCUUUUUACUAUAGUUUUUACUCAUCUUUCUAACUUCAAGUUUAAAUUUAUACUAAUUAUUCUUUAUUUUAAGUCUAACGAUUUUAACACAUGUAUUAAAUAAACAUUUUUCUCAUGUUAUUAUACUAGUAACCACACGUGUCAUUAUUAUUUUGUUUUAUAAAUUUUAGUUUCUUUAUGUUUUUAUAGUGUGUAUGAUUGAUGGUCAUUAAUUGCUAAUAAUCAUGUAUAUUUGCAAUCUAAUUGCUCAACACAAACGGAUGCAAAGAUUAACAUUUGAAUUUAAUCAUUAAUGAUUUUAAAGGAUCUUGAUUUCAUCAGCUUUGAUAUUUUAGUGGCUUAAUAUCUCAUUUACUUUUUUUGGCCAUUUGCUUAUUAUCUCACUAAAGAACUCAUAUUUCUGCAUCAGCUUUUGAUAAGUUUUCACUUUUAUGUUAACUUAUGCUUUUUUAAAACCGACAGGCUGUUCUCCGAGAUAUUCUUGACAAGUUUCUGCCUGAUGAUAUUCAUACUAGGUCCAAUGGGAGGGUUCGUGGUGAGUAUGAUAAUUUGAAAACAAACUAGAAACUGUAUGUAUAUUCUUUUAUACUGGGAGUACAUAGAGCUGAUAAUUAAAUUUUCUUUGAAGCAUAUGAGAAAAUAAUAUUAUCAUCCUACAAUUGUAAUCUUUGAAUGGCACAUUUAGAUCAUGAUAACAUUGAGAUAGCUGCUCAGAUCAAGCUGGUAAUAAGGAAAAGGUAGAUAGGCGUUGGGAUAGUAACAUGCAAAGCAUUGGUCAAAUCAUAAUGUUAGAGAGAUGCUAGCUGAGGUCUAGAUUGUUUUUUAAAAUACCGAAGUAGCUACAAACACAUUAUGAAGACGGUGGAGGGUGUUACUAUAACUUCAGUUGUUUUACACUAGAUUCACUAAUCUACCUUUCUCUGUGCCAAGAUAAAUUCUCUCUUUUUUGUGUAUGACAUUCUUUAUAAAGCAAUUUGCAUAACAUUGAUGUCUGAUUUUGACUUGCGAAUCUCCACCACUUUGAGCAAUUAACAUUUCUUUUAUUGUGCAACUAUAAUGUCAGUUGCUGUAACUCAGAUUCUUUGGAGGCCUAGGGGUUUACUGGUAGAUCAAUUUGAUUCUAAAGAAGAUUUGAUCAAUGCAGUCAUUACAUCUUCCUUCAUUCCUGGGUAAUUGGUUAAGGCAUAGUUCUGCAUUGAAACGCUUGCUAUGAAGUUACGAGAACCUGAUACAAAACAUCUUUGCAGGUAUCUUGCUCCUCGCCCAGCAACAAUGUUCCGAAAUCGUCUAUGCAUUGAUGGGGGUUUGACAUUAUUUAUGCCCCCAACAUCUGCUUCUAAAACGGUAUUUUCUUGAGAUCGUUUAAAACUGAACCUGCCUCCAAAAAUUCCGGGAAACUAUUUGUCCCAAGACAUUCUGUUUUACUGAAAUUUGCAAUCUGAUAUAGGUUUGAAACAAGAAUAUUUAGUCAUAAAUGGUUUUGAAUUGAAUUGCUAGCUGUUGAGUGUCAUUUUGAUAUUCUGAUUAGCACUACAAUAAUAUAUGUGGUCUCAAAAGUUACUGAAGUGCUUUGUAGCUGUCGAAUACAAAGCUUGGAUUCUGUCAAAUCUGUUUUAAGAUCCACAUAUCACUUUACAUGUGAUUAUUGUUAAGACUUGAAAUAGCCUUGUAUAGUAAUUCACCAUAGUUUAUUAAUCACUGGUCAAGAUUUACAAGGACGAGAAUGGCCUGCGUUUAUAUGUAGUGUUAUUACUCUUGUUUAUCCGAUAUUUUACAGUUGCAGUGAACUGUGGAAUUGAAGUCUUUUGACUUUGAGAUAGGUAAAAAGUGGUAGUAUCCUAUUCCACUGGACCUAAUACCAAGCAAUGAUGAUUACACAAACUUACUCCUGAUGGUGAUAUGAUGGCUGAUUUGUCUUUGCAGGUCCGAGUCUGUGCUUUCCCAGCCAGAAAGUUGGGGUUGCAAGGAAUUGGGAUUAGUCCAGACUGCAAUCCUGAGAAUAGGGCUAGUGGAAGAGAGGUAAUCCCAUAGGUCUGCAAAUAUUGAUUGUUUCCCUCAAGUAUAAACCUCUGAACUCUUGUUGCCAACUCCUCACAGCUUUUCAAUUGGGCAUUGGAGCCAGCAGAUGAUGAAAUUCUUGAUAGGCUCUUUGAGUUUGGAUAUCUAGAUGCAGCCGUAUGGGGAGAGCAGAACCCUGUCAAGGACAUUGUUGCAGAUAACAGUCCCCUUGUUGGGAAUGGUUCUGCCAAGUAAAUACUUAGAUGGUCGGAUAGCAUUUCAGGGUAACUCUGUCUCAACCCUGGCAAGUAGGAGAAUCGAAUUUCAUUUGGAGUGCUAGACCAUGGCUAAAAUAUAGAUAUAGUAGCCAAGAUUAUAUAAAGUUUAUAUGGUAUGAAAUUGUCAAACGACCAUGAGAUGUCAUAGGUACAGUAAGUGAGGAAGAAAGGAAUUGAAAUGUAGAAUUUAGGAUAAGGAUAUAAUAUUGUACUCUGGGAUGAUGUCAAAAUCCAUUCAUCCUUAUCCAUCUCAUGUUCUCCAUUGCCUUGUAAUCUGAGGAUUUCUUUGUAUAAUACCAGUAAAACUGCAGUUGCUCACUCUUGGAUCAUAUUAAACAUCAUCUCGUUUUUAUGGAUGAUCCAAGUAGUAAUCUUGGAAAGCACUAAUCAUUUACCAAAAAAAAAAAUCUUAAUUACAGAUUUGAAAGAGUUUGAACUGAGGAGUGAGUUGUGACAGACAAUUAGAGGGUGAGUGGCAGACAGAAACAGUCCCACAUUUUUGUAUCCUCCUUUUGCAGCAAGUCAAAAGGUAUUGAAGAGAUGCAUGAAGCCCCCGCAUAUGGCGUGGUCAACGACACAUCUCAUAGCUUUGCUUUGUUGAGGUUGCGGUCUUUAAGACUGUUGCUUUUUCAAUUCAUUCUGACUUUGCAAGGGACGAUUAUGACAGGCAGAGAAUAUUUUUUUGUUUGGUUGAUUACAACAAACACGACAUGAUCGAAAAUGGCUUCUUAUUUCAAACCAGAUAUUUCUCUUCUUUGCAGUAGAAGGAACAAAUCUAUCCUUUAAUCUUGUCAAGUUCCAGCAACUGAACAAAACCCUUUCUGACAUAUUUGUAACAGCUCUAUGGGGGAUUUUGAGAGGCGCAGUUGCAGAGCCAAUUUGGCAUUCUGUCCACCUCCAACAAUAAUUCUUGGUAGUGGAGGUGGUCAGUAUGUCAAACAGGCAGUGUAAAUUUGUCACUGAGAAACCCCAAGAGAAAUUAAUGAAAUACCCCUUUACCAUCAUGUCUUCAUCUGUUGGGGUACAACUAUAUCAUGUAGUCUUGGAAAUGCCAAUUCCAACACCCUAAUAUUUAUCUUUUCUUGCAUAUAUAUGUAUUAUCUUCUUCUUCUUCAAUAUGUUAUUGAAUCCAGUUUGCUGGCAAUGCUUUAAACUUGCUUUGGUCAUCUCUUCAGCAUUUUUUUCUCAGGUGGAAAACUAACGUUACCUAACAUCUCAUCCAGAUUUUGCCUUGGGUUGGAGUUUUCUGAUCCAUGAAUUUGUUCACAAAUUUGAUCUGUACGUUUCUUUAACAUAUAUAUUUUUUCUGAUCCAUGAACUCUCUUGCAUGCUUUAUACUUCUAUCCUCUCAUAUACUGGCUCUCAACAUCUCAUCACCAUGCGAACCGCACUCUGUCUCCGCCCUCUUCUUGGUCAUCGACACAUAUAUACUUCUUCUGCUCUGCUGCAUGGCAUGCAGUACGUGCAUUUGGUAAUUUGGAGGUCAAAUAUAGAUCAAAAUUAGACUAUAACCAUAGCCAAGGGAAUUUCUUAUGUUAAUCAAACUCCAUGUGGGAUGAUCAUUGCGAAGAGAAUAACAACUCGUUUAACUUUAAGCUGCGAUUAAAUAACCAUUCGUUAUUCGAUUAUUUCUUGAAUUUUUUUUUAUCCAACACAUUCAUUCUACGUUUGAGUUUUCAGUUACUCUAUUAUUGAAGAAGCGAAUGCAUUAGUUAUAAGCAUCAUGCCCAAUUAUCUUUUGUUCCACAGCCUAAAUACAAAUGUUUAUUUAUAUUUGAAAAUAUUAAAUUUUGUACCAGGAAUAAGAAAAUAACAAAUAAAAACUUUGGGCUGUGAUUUGAAUGGGGUUUUGAUUUCAAUGGGCUUUUCCGGAACAGAAACCUCAUCAGUCCAAAUAUCGACCAUUUUAUGUACGUUGAUAAUCCUAAAAUAAAUUAAAAACCCUUUAUAAAAUUAAACCAAAAAGAAAAAAAAGAAGAAAGAAAUUCGACCAAAAUAUAUCCAUCGCGAGGGUUUUCGAGUUAACCUUGGUCGUCUUUUCUAUCAAAUUAACAAGUAAAUUCCAAAUGGGAAGCACCGCCGUCGAGAAGACAGCAGAAGAGCUUCAGCGAGAGAUUGAUGAGCUUCAUCGCCAGCAACGCGAGGUUUCUAUCUCUUUCUCUCUUUCUUUUUCUAGUAAAUACGACUCUACGAAUACUGUUAAGCUACAUUCUUUUCUUUAUUAAUUUGUGUAUGCUUUAUAUAGAUUACAGAGAGGCUGAGAGAUCCUCGAGGACUCCGAAGAGGAGGACUGUCAGGCAUCGGUCCUCGUAACUUCGCCGCCAAUGGUUCUCGCCAGCGUGGCUUUCUUCGACAUGUAUGCUUCUGUUUCUCUUUAAUUCUCGCUUUUGCUGUUUUUCGCCUUUUUUAGGGUUUAAGUUUUCUUCUUUUUGUUUCUUGUAGGCGGAUAGGAUUGAUGGAGAAGAUCAACCUCCGGCUAAGAGGCGAUUGUCAUCAGCUGUUGUCAAGGUAAACCAUUUCUUGCUCGAUUUUCGUUAACAAUUAGUAACUAUUAAAAGUCUAUUGAUUCACCUAGCCUUUCUUAUGCUCUUUUUUAUAUUGUUAAUUUGUUAAUUUUGGACUGAAGGUUGAAGAUGGAGAGAUUGUUGAUGAUGAAGUAGCAAAGGAUGCCAGUGACAUGGCUGUCGAAGGAUCUGGUGCAGUACAUGAGAGUGAUAGAAAGCUUUCGACUCAGCAGCAAAGUGGUUGGUCUAGAAGGGAUGUAAAUCAAACACCACUGAAGAAGGUUUUUCUGUACUCUAGAUUUAAAUUUUUAUUGAGCUGUGGGAUUAUUUAGGUCCAUGAAUUGUGACAUUCUUUUUAUCCUUGUUUUUUGUUGUUAGGAUGCCGAAGUUCCGGUUGCUGAGCAUGUUCCAAGGAUUUUGCCCAAGGAUGAGGACCCAAGCUUGAUUAAUAGGAAUAAAAGAAUGUUGGGUCAACUUUUAGGGACUUUGGAGGUAUUUAUGUCGUAGUUUCUGUCUUAGUGAAAUAUUAAAUCAUUGAAAUUCCUACUUUGGAUUGACAUAGAACCACACCAGCUUACUAAGUACAGCAAGGAUCUAAAGAAAUGGCUUUAACAGAAACCAUAAGCUGCGAAGUUUAACAAUAGUUGCGAUGUAGAGCUCCUUCUCGUGGAUAAUUUCUAUUUCAGCCUCCCAUCUCCAGUUUUAAUGGUUUUAUUUAAAUAAAUAGCUUCUUGGUCCGGAACUAGGAAAAUCAAUCAUUUAGAACCCCUACAAGCUAUUUAUUUUGGUAUUUGUGUUGUAAAGCCCCCAUUUGUGCCCCCUCACCAACACACACAAAAAAAAGGAAAAAAAAUAUCAUUUCCUUGUACAUAAUGCUGGUAUUACCUAUUUCUGCCUGCUGGCUUUUGUAGAUUCAUAACAGCAUAUCUUUUUUUGUUUUCAUUUCUGCAGAGAUUCAGGAAAGAAGAUAAGCAACUUUCAGGGACAGAGGCAUAUAUGAGACGGUCAAAUUCCUUGCAAAGAGUAAGCUUGUGCUUUUUCAUAUUAUGAAUUUCUGGUUUCAUUUGUAAAUCGAGUAACUUCUUAUUGUUAGUUUCUUAUGAUUAGCUUAACAAGUCUUAGGGAAUACAAAAUGAGCAACAUUGGAUGACUUUGUUCCCAUGAGACCUAAUUUUCUAUGUCUAAAGUUUAAAGAAAUAAUCAUUGUAGAGUUUGGGGAUUUACUAUGAUAAAGUAUUUUGCUGGUCACUAAAUGUUUGGAUUUCUUCAUAGGCUGAGCAAAGAGCUCGCGAAGAAAGUGAGAAGCUGAGGCAACAAGAGCGUGAACAAAUAGCAGAAAAGAGGAGGAGAGAUCUGGUUUGUCAUUGAUCAUUAUUGCUGUUAGUUGACGUUAAAAGUUGUUAGAUGUAGAAAUAAAUGAUCAUUAUUGCUUUCCCCUUCUGUUUUUCAGACUCUCAGGGCUCGUGUGGCUGCCAAGGCUGAAGAAAAGAAGUUGGAGUUGUUGUUUCUUCAGUGGAGUGAGCACCACAAAAAGCUUAGCAAUUUUAUAAGGUAUAUAUGUAAUAUCAAUUUUAGUAUGAUAUGGUGUCAGCACCUUUCAGGCAUAAAACAUUUUCUGCUUUAAUGUUGCUUUUGCUACGAAUGGCUCUAGUAUUAACACCCUUUCCGCCUGUUGCAGGUUAAUUUUAACUUUGGUCCAGUAGUGUCCAUAUUCACAAUUUUAUUGAGACAAAGAUAAGUUUCUGUUCAAGUGCAUAGUAGUGUUGAAGCAUCUGAAGACUUCAAUGUUCCUGCUUUCUAGGAUCUAGGUAGACUGCAACAAUUAUUUUUUGGAUAAUUUUGUACUCAUCUUGAUUGCUCUUGGAAUGUGUUUCAGGACGAAAACUGAGCCUCCAGUAUAUUAUUUACCAACUAAACCAUUGCAUGAAGAUGCAGCCAUAUAUGAGCAGCAGAAAGAACAAGUAAGUUGUCUAAGUCUCAUGCUAUUAAAACGAAGACCAAAUUUCUUCCCUAGUUUGUUGUCAAAAGCUAGAAUUCCUGAAAAAGGUGCCAUUUUUUCAUGGACUUUCCAACUAUCUUGUGGAUGCUAUUUCAAAUUUUCAAAUUUCAGUCUUUUAGAGUGGCAGGGAUAUUGUGUAUCAGCAUCGUGCUACAAUUAAUGCACUCUGUUUCCGAAAGAGUUCCGUGCAAAAUCAAUUGUAAGAGGAAGAUGGGCAGUUGUAUUUCAUCCUAAUAAUUAGAAAUAUCAACAAUCAUCUGCCAGACAUCACUUUCUUACUAAUAUUAACAAUCUGUCUUAUUAUCGUGUGAUGCUAAUUACUCGUGAUAUCAAUAUAUUUGCAAUUGCAUAACAGGAGUAUUUGGAAUGGAAGACAGCAAGGAGGGAGGAACUGUCUGAAUAUCGGAAACAGAUAGGAGAAGAAUAUGUAGGGAACGUGGAAAAGGAGUUGGAGAGGUGGCAAAAUGCUCGGAAAGCUAGGAAAGCAAACAAUGACAUGAACCUACAAGAAACAAUGGACAAAGAAUUGGAUAGCCAUAGACUGGAGCAUGGUCCAAAGAAGAGAAAGAUACCAGGUGGAAACAACAAUGAAGAUGAGGAAGAUGUGGAAGAUAUCAAUGUUGGGGAAGAUGAUAUGAUGGAUGAUGUGUUGGGUGUUGAUGAUAAUAAUGGUAGGAGGGGAGAUGAAACAGCGAAAGCAGAGCCCGAUAACACUAGUCCAGUUCCUGAUAAUAAUGUUGAUCAGCUUUGAACCUUAGGCCGUAGGUCAGGUCAAUCUUUACUAGUAGGUCUUUUCUUUUUGGUUGUUUUAGCAUUCAUUUUGGCUGGCAUGGCAUGAUUCCUCUUUUUGUUUCUCCUUUAACCCGUUACUAGAUUAGAUUUUAGAUGCGUUUUCCUAUAUAAUGCCCAAAUACUUUUAACAUUAUUAUCUAAAUAACAAUAGCCGUUAUCAGAAAUUAGAAAUUCGUGUUGAAGUCAUUUUUGCAGUCAAUUUAAAAGAAGGUAGGCUAAUAAUUAAUAAGAAAAAAAGUGAAUAAAAAGCUUGUAUUUCCUCGAAAGUGAAGUUGGCGUGAAAGUUAAAUUUACUUGCUUAGUUACCAAGUAUUUACCAUUUAUUAUAGCGCCAUGAUCAGGUAGAAGUGGUAAGGUGGAAAGAGGGCGUGAGUUAAAAACUUACCUCACCGAAUCAAGCUAAGUUAAAAUUUCUGCUUUGUCGCUUUAUCUUAUUUUUACAAUUUAUUACAAAGAUCUAUAUUCUUGAAAAAGAUUAUAAUCGAAGUUUCUAUUUUAUCAGUGUUACAAAAAUCUACAUUCAAACUAGCUUUUCCAUUUGAUUUACACUCAAAUAAGUAUGAAAUUGAAAUUAAUGAUUUAUUUAAAAAAUACCAUAUAUUCGUAUACCUUCAAGUUUCACCCCCGGAAAAGCACACUCCCCUCUCUGAGUCGUCUCCCACUUUCAGUCCCCUCUCCAUAUCUAUCCAUCUCUUCUGGAAGCUUAGAAGCAAGUGUAGUUCCAAAAUCAAUCUAGGAAAGCAGAGAGUUAGUGAGAGAGGAGGAGCUUUUUCUUUGAAAACUUAAAAAGAGUAAAAAGCAAAUGCCACCCCACGCCAGAGAAAUACGUCCAACCCCCAAUGGCGACCACCACCGCCGUCACGGCCUCUCCGCCGCACCACCUCUCGCUUACUACCCUCGCUCUUCCUCUUCUUCUGCCUCUUUCAAAGGCUGCUGUUGCUGCCUCUUCCUUCUCUCUUCCUUCUUACUCCUUCUCGUCCUAGCUGUUUUUCUCAUAAUAUUCCUCGCUGUUAAACCCGAGAGACCCCAGUUCGAUCUCCAACAAGUAGGGGUUCAAUACAUGGGUAUCUCCACUUCUAAUCCUUCCUCCUUGGACGGCACUAGCACCGCUGUCUCGCCUUCCCCAACAACCGCUUCUUUGUCCUUAACUAUCCACUUGCUUUUCACUGCGGUGAAUCCCAAUAAGGUCGGCAUCAAAUACGGCGAGUCUAGGUUCACCGUUAUGUACCGUGGGAUUCCUUUGGGAAAAGCUUCCGUCCCUGGGUUUUACCAAGAAGCUCACAGCACCCGGAAUGUGGAAGCUACCAUCGCCGUUGAUCGAGCUAACUUAAUGCAAGCUGAUGCAGCUGAUUUAAUCAGAGAUGCUUCACUUAGUGACCGUGUUCAGCUUAGAGUUUUGGGUGAUGUUGGCGCUAAGAUCCGCGUCUUGGACUUCGAUUCUCCUGGCGUUCAGGUCUCUUCUUCUCCUUUCACUUCUAUUUUAAACUUUCUAAUUACAGCAUUAUCCUCAUCCCCCCUUCUCUCUUAGAAUCCUUAGUUUCAGACUCCUUUUCCUUCGGGAGCGGCGUAGGUGGUGGUGUCCACACUGGCUGCCUUAGCCACCCCACCCCCCAAUUAGUCGCUGUCCACUCCACUUUAUUCUCGUUUGUUUUUACUAACUGGCACCACUCUUUGGAUACUUAGAAUUGUUAGUAGGGAAGGGUAAGCGUGUUUAUUUUUCCCCUCUUGGAUGCUUUCUUUUGUCUAUUAAUUGCAAUCAUUUGACCUCUGAAAAUUCGUGAGCAUAUUCAUUUUUCACUGUGAAUUGGUCGAUGCCAUGGUUUGGAUUUUACCUACUCGAUCCAAUGACUUUUGUGUACUUAUUUAUCAAUUUGGAUUGAGCAUUAUUAUUAUUCUUUGUUUUUGGAAAUUUUUGUGUGGGAUGAGUUGAGACAGAAAGCAGUAGUUGAUAACUUGAUAUGUGUUGUAGCAUGGUGGUAUUGUGGUAAAGACAGAAGUGAAUAAAUGUCAUAAUUUUGGGUUUUGAUUAUUAUUAUUUACUUGAUAUCCCAAAAUAUGUCUUUUAUUUCGUUUCUUACCCCUGGACUAUCACUCUGACCCGACCAUCUUUAGUGUUUUUUUUUUCUUUUCAAUAUUUUAAACAAGGUUGAGAUUUGAACCCAAUUUAAUGGAUUUCAGUUCUUAAAAGAGAAUGAUUGCAUGUUGAGAUUUAUUUAUUUUUCAUUUAUAUAUAUUAGAACCUUUGAGUUGUUUGUUUGAUGUCUUUUUUUCAAAGGCUGACUGCAUAUGGAGUUCACUUUUUUUUGUUCUUUACAAUGUAGGAUCCACGGCAUUUACCUAUAGAUUAUCUUGUGUGAUCCAUAAGUUCUAACUCCAAUCCUCUCUUGUAUGAUUUGUAUUUUUUAAUGCUUUAGGGUCUCUUUUAAGGAAAGUGGGGUAAAAAUGUUUUUCCCUAUUAGCUGUUGGGGUAGAUAAUGAGAACAUACAUUAUUGUGGCUUCUUCUUGCCAUGAUGCCAUAGUAUAGCAUUUCUUAGCCGUGAAGCAGUUUUGAUAAUGUACAAUAAAUUGCGGCAUGAUGCUUUAAGAAAACUUUGAUGAUCAUUCCCCUUUCUCUGGUGUUUAUGACCAAUUUUGACAAUUCACUCACAUCAGUGCAAGAUAUAUGUUGGGGUGCAUAGAUUAGCUAGUGUUUUGUUGUGUUGAAAUGGGGUUGGCAAUGGCAGGUAUCGGUGGAUUGUGCAAUAGUGAUCAGUCCAAGGAAGCAGUCUAUCACCGACAAGCAAUGUGGAUUCGAUGGAUUGAGUGUUUAAAGUUCAAACUCACAUUGCCUAAUAAAAUCUUAAUGGUGAAAGGUAUUCUCCUCCUUUUUGCUUAUUCUCUCUAUUAUUCUGUGUCCCCAAAUGGGAUCGUGAAAGAAUUUGGAAUAAAAAAAAAGGGAAAGAAAAGGCAAAAGAGGGGGGUAAAAUUCAGGGGAAGGAAGAAAUAGAAGUGGAUGGAUGGAGUGUAUUAUUAUUAUUAUAAUAUAAAAAAGUAAAGCGUUGGGAAAAGACAAGACGAUGAUAAGAAGAUUGUAAAUUGUUGGUCGGUUUCCCCCCAAGCCCUAGAUUCAAUUUUUUGGAGUGGCAUUGUAAAAUUAGUAGCAUGUGUAAUGCUGCCAAAUUAUCGUUGUGCUUGUGCAGUGGAUGGUGCCUCUCAGCCGUAAUGGCAGAUGGGCCUUGUUGUAAACCACGCGCGAUUUUGUUUGUGCCUUCGCCCCCGUGGAUCUAAAAAUUCAUCUCUGCCCAAUCAAUGUGUUGUUCUGCUUUUUACUUCAUUGCUAAAAUAAUUGUUGUUUUUUUCCACUUAUCAUAUUCACACCUGAUCUUUUAGCCAAAGGAAUUUAUAGUUAUUCCAUUGUUUUUUUUAUCCAUAUGUAAGGAAGGAAUUUAGAAAAUAAAAUUUGUAAUUAAUAAUUAAAUAAACUUAUCCGUAUUUAUUUAUAAGUCUUCAAAUAUUUUAUUAUUUGCUCAUUGAUGUAAUGAUUUAAUGUGAUUCAUUGAUAUGCAUCAUGAAUGUUAUGCAUUCAUAAUGCAUCAAAUAUUAUUGGUGUGUAAAUAUUUUGUGAAUAACUUUGAUUUUAAAAUACACUCGGAAAAGAUAUAAAACAUUUUUGAAAUUAAAAUUUAAUCAAACAAAAAACAUACUUCUGAUUCUUAUUAUAUAUCUUGCAAUCAAUCUUUUUAAUAAAAAAAAAUCAUUCAAUGAUCUAACGGAAAAUUCCCAAAAUGAAGACUUUCUGGCCUAAACGAAAUAUAGACCAAAGCAUUACAAUUUACAAGCCACUCAAUGCCAACAAUAAUAUAAUAUAUAUAUAUACCAGAUUGAUUAAAGAAAAAAAAAAGCUUUCCGGAGGCAACCGAACUGAACUCGCAACGACACGGGCCGAUAAAUGUAGACUUGAUAAUUCAUAUCAUCCAAAUUAGAAACACUUCCGGUGAACGAUAGCCGGACCUGAUUCAUCGUACUCAGCCUUGGAAAUCCACAUCUGCGCAUACCAAAAAUAAAAAUAAAUGUAAGUUGUUGCAGAAAUACGUGUAUGACAGGAAUAUGUUGAAUAUUUAGAGGGGAGGAAUUUGAAAAAAUGAAAUCGGAAAGUUACCUGCUGGAAGGUGCUAAGAGAAGCUAAAAUGGAACCUCCAAUCCAAACACUGUAUUUUCUCUCAGGAGGUGCAACCACCUUGAUCUUCAUGCUGCUAGGUGCAAGUGCAGUGAUUUCCUUGCUCAUCCUAUCAGCAAUACCAGGGAACAUGGUUGUUCCACCACUCAGCACUAUGUUUCCAUACAGAUCUUUUCUGAUAUCAACAUCACACUUCAUAAUGGAGUUGUAUGUAGUUUCGUGGAUUCCGGCUGCUUCCAUUCCGAUCAGAGAUGGUUGGAACAAUACUUCAGGGCAACGGAACCUCUCCGCUCCGAUUGUAAUCACUUGACCAUCGGGCAAUUCGUAACUCUUUUCAAUGGCAGAGCUACUCUUGGCAGUCUCCAAUUCUUGCUCGUAAUCAAGAGCUACGUAUGCGAGCUUCUCUUUCAUGUCACGAACAAUUUCCCGUUCUGCAGUCGUCGUAAAAGAGUACCCUCUCUCGGUUAAGAUCUUCAUCAAGGAAUCCGUAAGAUCACGACCGGCAAGGUCUAACCGGAGAAUGGCAUGGGGAAGAGCAUAGCCUUCAUAAAUUGGCACAGUGUGGCUCACACCAUCACCAGAAUCCAACACAAUACCUAUAUUCAAAGAAAACAAAAUCAUCAUCAUGCCAAUUUCCAUAGCAUCACACUAAUUAAAAUACAAGCAAAACCAGUUUACCUGUUGUACGACCACUGGCAUAAAGUGAAAGAACUGCCUGAAUAGCAACAUACAUAGCAGGCACAUCAAAUGUUUCAAACAUUAUCUGAGUCAUCUUCUCCCUAUUAGCCUUGGGGUUAAGCGGUGCUUCUGUAAGAAGUACCGGAUGUUCUUCAGGGGCGACACGAAGCUCGUUGUAGAAAGUAUGGUGCCAAAUCUUUUCCAUGUCAUCCCAAUUGCUGACAAUGCCAUGUUCGAUAGGGUACUUCAAGGUAAGGAUACCUCUCUUUGAUUGAGCUUCAUCUCCUACAUAGGCAUCCUUUUGACCCAUUCCCACCAUCACGCCUGUAUGGCGUGGUCGACCGACGAUACUAGGAAACACUGCCCUUGGGGCAUCAUCACCAGCAAAACCAGCCUGCAAUUACAAGGGACAAAACAGGUUUCAACACUUGUGUGUAUGUGUGUAUUUGCAUUAAAAUCAUAGUCUAUUUUUCAUUGUAAUCUAUGGAUGAUUAACUAACCUUGACCAUUCCAGUUCCAUUGUCACAAACAAGAGGUUGAAUAUCCUCAUCAGCCAUCUCUGAUUAGCCUUAACAAGGAAAUGGAUUGUUUAAGUUAAAUCUUGGAUCAAAAUUUGAACUAGGAAUCAAAUAAGUUUCUAACAAAAUGAAUCAUUGAAGAAAAACAUACAACUGAAACAGCUCUAGGAUUAAAACACAUAUUACAACAAAAUCUACAGAAUCUUGAUGUUCUCAAGCAAACACCAAGCAGAAUGAAUUGUAAAUAGAUGUCAACCCAGAAAUAUUUACACAUGGAUAAGCAAUAAUAACAAUAAAACAGAUUAAAAUAACCAAUACCUUGUUUAAGCAAAAAAACACUGAGCUUCUCUGAAAAUGAAAAAAAAAUAACAGAGAAGCUGAAGUUAUAUAGCCUAUGGAGGAGAAAAGAAAUGUUAUUAGAUCGUUAAUAAUAUAGUAAAAGACUCUUGAUUAAUAUAUAUAUAGCAGAAAUGAGAGAGAUGCAAAUGGAAUUCAACCCAACUUGAGUUAAGCCUUGUUUGGCAGCUGAGAAAAAUAAAAAUAAUAAAAGGUUUGCUUCAUAUGGGGAAAAGGGAAUCUCUUACACAGAGCGUGCCAGAGGAUGUUUGCUGGACUUAUGUCGGAAUCCAAACAAAAGCCGUCCAAGAUCCAAAUGGUGGAGUUAAGUCAGGUAUGAUGUAGACAUUAAGACCUAAAAUGUAAUUAAUGAGACAUCAACAAAAGGGCGGCUAAAGUUAGGGUGGGCGGUGGUGUCUCUUGCCGACCAUGUCUAUCUAUGCUUGCUUCUAUAUUGGUUGGCACUUGGCAGUGGCAUUGGCAAUGGCCCCCACUCACCUCCUUUCCAUUUCCCUCUAUAAUUAAAAUUACAACUACACUAGAUUGGUAUUUUCUUUAUUUCUCUUCUUUUUCCUAUUCGAUUGGGUUUUUUUUGACAAAAUGUUUUUUUUUAAAGUAGGGAAAACUAUUCAAAGUUAGAAUUCUAAGGAAAAUAUUGAAAAUUCAUAGUUAUGCAACGUGUUAUUUUUUAAAUAAUUUAAUUGUAUUAAAAAAUUAUUAUUUUUUAAAAGAAAAUAUGCAUUUUAUAGUUAAAAAUAAAAAAUUUAAGACCAUAUCUUUUAACAAGUCGAACACCCUCUAGUAGUUUUGAAGUUUUCCAAAUUCCUCGCAUCCUUUGAGUGCUAAACUAUAUUUUUUUCCUUUGUUUUAAUGAAUAAAUAUCAAAUUUAUAUUUAAAUGUAUAUAUUUAAAGAAAUUAAUACAUAAUACCUAUUUUUAUAUUGGAUUAAAUGAUUAUGUUGAUUAGAUAAUAUUGUCAGAGAAUUUUAAAAACCAAAUCCAAUCAAUAUUUUAUGUAUAAAAUUAAAGAAAUUUUGAAUUAUCAAAUUUUAAAAACUUUUUGUUGUUUAUAUUAAUUGAUAGUGGGGGAAGUUGAUGUUUAAUUAUGUUUACGCAACCCAAAGAAGACCAAGCAGCUCACCAAAUUUGAUUUGGAAAAAUAACUAAUCAAUAUUCCUAAUUGUUUCUAUCAAUCAAUUUAAUACUUUAAAAAGUCAAAUAUAAUAUUAAUCAGAACGGAAACGAAUUUAUAUUUAAGUCUAAUCAAAGGAAAGCCACAACUAUUCAUUUCAAGGAAUAAUUAUUAUAAUUAACUAACAACAUUUUCGCUCAAAUAAGAUAAUAUUAAAUUUAUUCAUAUAUGAAAAUAGUAUUGAUAAAAAGUUAAAAUAGUAAAGCUAAUCUAUAAUUUAACCCUUAAAUGAGAUAUCAGAUCUUACGUGACAUAAUUUAAAAUAGAAAUUUUAAAGAAAAAUGGAUGUUAUAAAAGUAUUGAUUUUGAGAUUUACUUGAUAGUUUGAGGAUGUAAUUAAAAUGUUUUGAAGUUUGGAGACCAAUUUAAAAGGAGGGUUAUAGUUUGAGGAUGUCUAGUACAAUUAACUCUUAUUAUAUAAACACGUUCCCUUUUGCCCUUUUCCCGAAAACGGUGCCGGACGACUUUUAAAAGGUUAGUUUUCAGCCCAAUUGCACACUAGUACGAAGGGCCAUAAGCUUAGGAAAGCCCAUAAAAUUGGAUCCAAAAAUAGAGGUAAGCCCAUAAAUUCUGGCGGCAGUUGUGCGCACUUUAAGCUCACUCUUAAACUAUGCGUUUUCCGCAAGGAUUCGCCAAUCGCCAUAGCCGAGAUCUCGUCUUCCUGUCUCAAGGUACUCUUUUUCUUUUCUUUUCUUUUCUUUUCUUUUUUGGUCAAAUAUAUUAUGUGAAGGUGAUAUCAUAUUCCAUAAGGAAUAGUAAUAUAUUUUUAAUAAUAACUGAUAAUGAAUUCUUCAUUCAAUUGUUUUUCUUGAUCUGUAAAUCUAGGGUUUUAGGGUUUAGUAGAUUUCAUCUUUUCCUUGUUUUUAUUCAAAACCAGAAACUUUAUCUCUUUUUUUUUAAUUUCAAUAUUUCAAUAUUUCAUUUUUCAGUUUUUUUUUUUUGAGAAUUUACUUGAUUGCUAACCUUCAGCUUUAGAUUUUGUUUUAGCUUUAGAUUUUGUAGACUCUAAUUAUUUGUGUGAUAGUUAGCUGAUCUCCAAAGCUCUGUAUUUUUCUGAGUUCUCUACUUCAUUUGCAAUGUAAGUUUAUCUUUUUUCUCAUGUAUAAAUAUCUCUCUUAUUGCUUGUUCCUACUUGGAUUAUUUUUUGUUCGAUCUGUAAAAUAUAGUGAUUAAUUGACUGCCUUCCAGUACCAAGUCUAUAUUUCACUUAAUUGUCUUUAAAUAAUUAUUUUAGGGCGGACGAGGAACCUGUUGAUCAGAAAAAAUAUCUUGAAGAUGGUUGCAAGCCUAAAUGUGUGAAACAGCUUCGUUCAUAUGAGGUUGGUAAUAAACCGGUUGUUUAUGAAUUAGAAGCAAGAUUUUCUGAAUGUUCUUACCGUUCUUUCAGUUAUAUGACUUUGAUAAUUGCUGAUAUAAGUAUAUGCUCUUGGGGUGGUUUUUUCUACUUAUAUUAAUGGGAUUCAUUGAAGAUUGCUGAUUUAUUGUCUUUUUGAGUUGUCUAAAAUUCUAAUAUAGUAAUAUCUCCCUGUCUCUUUCUUUUGAGUGAUUCAUUUCCUGUUUUACUAGUUAUUGUAUGUUUGUUAGAGGAGCACUUAGCAUUUUUAGUCACUUUUUUGAAGAAGUGCUACCCCAAUUUUUAGUUUGGAGACUAAAGUCGUAUUUUCUUUGAUGCUGACGAACUGGUCAUCCUAAUAUUUAAAGGAAUAAUAAGCUUAUUGAGGAUAUAUGUGAAGUUUUUUGUAAUGCAAGUUGUUUUCUUCUUUUGAACAUAUUUCACUAAAAUCCAAUAUUAAAGUAAAAUCUGACAACAUAAAUUCCUUGAUAAAAAUGCUAGGCCUCACAUGCAUAUAUAUUUACUCUCAAAGUGGUAUGCCAGUGUUUGACUAAACUGGUCAUUUACUUAUCUUUUCUUGUUAAUGAAUUCUAGAAUCCUUAAAUUUUAUAUUUAGACAUGGUGUCCUAUUGAGAAAUUCUGUUUCUUGUCUUAAAUAAUUGAUAAUUCUUGUUUGGAACAUUGCCUGUUAUGAUGAAUAAUUGCGCAGCAACUUAUAAGUUACUGCUUUCCUGCAGGCAUGUGUUAAGAGAAUCCAAGGUGAUGAAAGUGGGCACAAGCAUUGCACUGGUCAAUAUUUUGACUAUUGGUCUUGUGUUGAUAAAUGUGUAAGUAGCUUUAUUUGCUUAGAGCCUCAGUUUGGCUAAUGUUGUUAUGUAACUUGUCCUGAUAUCAAUUUGGUGGAAUGUAGGUUGCACCAUCGCUAUUCACAAAACUGAAAUAACCAGGGCCAGAGUUGUACAACGGUAGCAUCAUGUCAUGCUGUUGAAUGAUUGUUUCAGACAAUUUGGCUCCAUAAACUUGACAAGUGUUAAAAUUUUUUUGUGUUACUUUGGAAACAUUUAAAUAAAUUUGGAUCCUGGGAUACAUCCCUCUUGGGAAUAGGAUCACAAGUGUUAUGACAAGUUUGAGUGCAAAAAUAUUGACUAUAAAUUGUGUUGAUGUGCACAGAAAAUUGAGUUUUAGAAAAUGUGUAUUUCUAUUUUUCAACACCCUCGAAUCAGAGAGGUAAAAGCUGGAGAAUAAUAUGAAGAAGAUAGAUGAAUCAUUGAAUUGUUGAACAGGGGCUGAGCCCUUUCUCCAAUGGCACCUCUUAUGCGCACUUCAGGCUUGAAUCUACAGCAAGUGUUGCACCAUCAGCUUUACUAUCUUCUCGUAAACUUAGCUUCCAACCAAAAUUUCAUCUUUUUUGAACCCUAGGUUGACACCGCAUUGGCUCUUAUGGCAGCAGUGCUGCACCAUUAACCUGUAUCAACAAGGAUCGUCAUCAGGGCCCGGAGUCGCUCCGGGUGACAUUCAUAUGCUAAACAAUGGUUUAAUUCUAGUUUGAACAAAUUAUAAUUCGUUGUUAUUAUACUCAUCAAUAAUAAGACAUAGAUGCAAUAUUUCUUAUUAAUGCCAAAAUAAUAUAAUAUAGCAAACACGACACCUUAUUGGUUAAACGUGAUCAAUGCCACACAUUUAAACAGCUGCAAGUUGUGUUGUUCAACAGGAAUAGAAAACGAGAAUUGCAAUGGCAGCAAGAUUUACAGUUUUAUAUAUUUGAGACGUGAAGAGAAACAAAAAUACAAAGCAGACCAGAAGCAUCCUCUAGACCUGUUAAAAUUGAAAAGGAAAAAAAAACAACAAUAAUUCUAAGCGUAUGUACGUAAAGGAGCGCAAGUAUGCAUGAUCCUGAACUAAUCUUUUACGUGCUCUACAUGAGAUCAAAUCCAAAAGCAUCAAGUUCUGAGGACUUACUGCCUGGAAUUUCCCACAAGUCGCAGCAUGGACAUUUCCAGCAGUAACACGUAGUUCUCUUAUAUUCUCUUGUGUCAUAGAAACCCAUUUCUUGGAGUUGUGAUAAUUGUGUGGCAUACAUUUCUUCCACAUGGAGCUUACCAUCAGACCAGCAGUAUCAGGUGCUCCUGAAACUGCAACUAAACGAAAAAUAAGGGUAAAAAUAUGAAAGAUAGAGGAAGGUCCUAAAGCAAGUUCGAGAGAGCCAUUGAUUGUUCGAGCAACUACUCUUCAUGCCCUUUGUAGAGAAAGUUCAGAACUACAAAUUGUACUCAUUUUUAUCAUGUACCUGUAGUAACACCACCCUGGUCUGUAGCCCUGCAAGAAAGCCAAAUGGUGAACAAAAAAACAAUGAAUCAUAAAGCCAUUUUAAUAGAUAGAUACAAUCGCUUACUGGGUUGAUUGCUGUUGGUUGAGCUGAAACACAAGUAACUGCUGUAAAAGCUAGCAAUUGCAGCAAGAAAUAAAUAAAAAAAGAAAAAGAGAGGUGACUUCACUGUCAAAAUAGUACUUGAAAAUAUCAAACAAUCUGAUAUUGUAUCCACUGAGAAGUAGCCUUAACAUGCCUAUAACACCAUAAUAGCUGAGGAUGAGCUUAUACAGAAUAAAAGACAGAUCCCAUAGCAUAAAAUCAUCUAAGCAUUUAGCAUUUAUUAGGAGAGAAUUCAGAGAUGCAUACUGCAUCAAAUUUACCUGCAUUGAAAAUCACAGUUUUGCAUAUAUAACCAAUCAUAAAAUGUUUAACUGAGCUUCAUAUUACAAAUAAAUUGGUUCUUUUUUCUUUUCAAAAAAUGUAUACUUUUUACACUGCAAUGUGAGUGUCAAAAUAUAUAUUCAUAACAAGAAAAGAAACAGCCAUUAUACGAUGAAAACUUGUGGGCAAUGAUUUCAUUUAUGCCCUUGAGCAUGUCAAUGUCAAUCAAGCUUGGUACUGGAGAAGUCUCUUUGUAUCUCUCACACCAGCAUGUCUUAUUUUCAUUGAUGUAGCCACCCACAAAUUAAUAUUUCAUCUCGACUUUAACCUUUCUAUGGCCCCUAAUCAGAUAUCGACUGCUCUGAUCACCACUGCUGAUUUCUCCUACACUUUCCACGCUGCUAUAUCCUGAUAUUCUAUCCCGUUUGUUUCUCCUUGCAAUCCCACUAUCGCUCAUGCUCCCUUCUAAGAGUGGAUCGUCGAUAUCACGAGUUACCCUCUGUGCAGCUGUUGGAAUACAACUAUCAUCCCUUGUCUUCCUUUUGUGUCUGCGACGCCUCUUUAUGUUUUCAGAGAUCUUAUGUAGUUUCUUGUUGAACUUCGUGAUCCCCUUCUCAACAGGCACAACUGCUUGGUUUACUGUAAAUUUUACAUCGUUUACGAUCUGCACCAGGAAAGGUAGAUUCUUUCAACAAUACUAAUGUCACCAUACUAAAGAAAAAGUAAAAGAAUGUGGUCUUAAAAAGAUUUAUCUGCAUACAAUAAAAAAGGCCCCCAACAAACAUAGUGGAAGAAUGUGCAUCAUUGAUUGCACUUUUCAGUUUUUAACGAUAGAUGGUGGAUGUUAAUUAGCAACUUAAUCAAUUCUACCCACUUGAACUCCUGAAGAGAUGCUAUCGUGGAGGACCAACAACAAAGAUUAUCAGUAUAAUCUGAAGACUUACAUAUUCACCACCACCAAUAAAUACGUCUUUCACACUUUCUUUGAUGGUCAUUCCACUUCCGGCCUUCAUUUCGGGAUCCAGAGGGCAAUCAACCGAUGCAUAGUCUCCAAGGAUUGGAACACUUUCAGGAAUGGGAUCUCCCAUUAACUCAUAAGGUGUGGAAGGGAAAACAUAUAGGUGAACUAUAGAAGCAAGGCCCAUCUGUACUGGAGGAAUAUCACAACAUUCCAAACUUUCAUAUUAGUAAAGGACCCAUAAAAUUUAGCUUUUUUAUUUAGAUGACCGAAAAGGGCAAUAUUCCAGUUUACAUAGGCAUAGAUAAAUAGGAGUUCAACCAAGAAGAAAUUUGUUGGUGAUUGAAGACAACUACCUCUAUACAAAUGAUGAAGUUUUGGACACUUGACUUAAACUGCAAGCCUUCAGCAAUUGGACUUCUGAACAGACCAAGAGCAUAAAAAAGGGCAAUUGCCACACCUUGCCACCAAGUUAAAAAUACUAUAGAUUUAAAUGUCAAAAACUUGGCCAACGGAUUUAUGCGCGCCAGUUCAUCUUUUGUGACAGCAUAAAAUUGUAUUAAACAGUAUAAAGCCCAUGAUUGACUGAAAUUGAGAACCACUGCCAUAUAAGGAUACCUGAAAAUCAGGAAACAGUGCCAAGAUAAUGAAAAUUUUCUUAAGAGGGCCCAUUUGCAAAAAUCCGUUUUCAGUAUUUAAUGUUAACUUUAAAUGAAACAACGAAGUCCCUGAAUAUUUUCAACAAACACUUGUGCUCGCAAGUAAAACAACAACAUAUAUUCUGAUUUUAGGAGGUUUGUUACUUAGCAGGUGAAGCACUAAAGGAGGCAUCAAUAUGAAUCACAAUCAUUGAUGAUUACUUUUUCUAUAUAACUCACACAAUCCUUGCUAUUAUAAGCAACAUUAAGAUCAUCUUACCCACAUCCCCAUUUGAAUUCUCCUUCACAAUAUACACCAAAAGCUUCAAGAAAUACUGCUAAAAGAGCAGUUAAUGACUUGAUUAUCAUCUGCCACCAAAGCAUAAAACUUUGUUAAAACAGGGAACAAUAAUAGAAACAAAAGUAAUACUUAAUUUUUUUCAAGCUAAAAAUCACUUACAUAUUGGACAAUGGCAAACUUGACAACUUGGUAAAACCAUUGACCAAGUUUCCAGGGUCUAAGGAUAUAAUUCAUAGGAAAAGGGUGCUUAAUAGUCCCCUUUUCAUAAUCAAGUUCCAAUAGUGGAGUUUUAGAACUUGCACGCCCUAAUCUUUUCAUGAAUUCGAUAGUCCUAUCUUCACCACCUUAAAAGCAGAAUUGCAGUAAAGAACAGAAAUUUUCUCAACAUUAGCCAUAAAAAUAAACAGUUGGUUUACUCUGAAAAAUGAAGACCGUUAAAAAAUGCAAGGGAGAAGAAAAUUGCCAAAUCAGUAAUUUAACAAAUAGCCUAUGUUUUCAAACCUCAAAAACUAGUGUUGCACUUUGACAUUUACGCUAUAUGGACCUUUGAAAGUCCAUAAGCCAAAAAUGCAUGCUAUGCAAAGGUGUUAAUUUUCUAAAUAUUUUGAUAGAAAUUAUCAUUAGAAUUUUAGGUCUGUAAUAUCAAAUGCAUAAACUAGCACAUAUACUCAGUUUGACAGAACUUUUUGGCACCCCUUAAAGGAAAUAUAUGUUGUGUAUAGUACCUUUUUCCUUAGUGUGUGUGCAUGUCUGUGUGGUUUAUUUCAUAUGGGUGUCAUGUCAUCAAUAGCUCAAUGCAUGAUAUUUUUAGCCCCAGAUAACUUUACAAUAAAACUACCAGUUGGCAGGCUAUUGGAAAUAGCCUACAGCCCCCGUGAAGAAUGUGGACUGUUGAGCCUUUAGAUUUUCUCAUCAGUGCUAAAGGUAAGGCCUGCAAAUAAUUACAUCCUGGACCUUGCUUGAGUAAAAGCAACAGAGUAGAGCAUAUUCUCUUUUAGAAUAUAACUAGAAUGAAUCAGGGGCAUUGUAUAUUAGACAUCAGAAGAAUUUAUAUAAAAAACAAAUAAGAUGGCACUCCAGAAACAGUAAACCAGAAUUACAAAAUAAAAUUUUUAGUUGAACUUUGAGGCUCUAGAAAUGGACAUACCCAAGCAAGCAACAAGGUAUCUUUCAAAGCAAUACAUGGCAAAUGAUUCGUAGCAAUCUCGUAGUAUCGAAAAAUCAACACUAAUUGAUUGAUCCACCAAUGAUACAAACUGUUAAAAGUAAUUGGGUAAGCAAGAUAGAAGAUAACAUACUUGAAUCAGAUACCUGUUGCCAAAAUAUCAUGUUGAAGUACUCUGCCAAAGCUAUACCAUAAAAGUUUCGCAUACUAAAGGCAUACCAAACUCAAAAUUUUAACCUAAGCUGAAUAUAAGUCAAACUUCAUCCAAACACACCGCUUGAAAUUAAGUGAAAAACCAACAUAAAGGAUUUGUGCCAAUGAUUUUACACAAUUUCUUAAGGAAUGUUCAGUAAUCUCAAACACCAACUUUUUGCUUCAAAUUUUCAAAAGUCAAGUAUGAUAUUCCAAAUUCAGGAAUCUAGGAACAGAAAUUUCCUACAGUAAGCAUCUUCAACAAAAAGGUAAAACAUUUAUGCUAGUGAUUUCACAGUUGUACAUUCCAUAAUCCCCAAAAGACCAAAUUCCACCCAACAGGGCAGAACUUUGAGCAAUAAUAGACAAAAACUUUGAGCAUUGUUACAAGAAAUUUAUCUGAGCUCCAGGCAUGGUAAUGAUUUUAAUCUUAGAGUAUCAAAAAACACUUAUUUUUAUCAAACACAUUACAAAAUGGUGCAAGACACUAGGAUUUGCACGAUCUGAACCACAUGAAAACAACUAGCAAAAGUUUUCGGAUUGAAAACUCCCUAUAAACUGAAAAAACAAGUAAACAAAAAACCCGAUCAAAGAACUCACCGAUUCUACAGCAUACAAAGGAACCAUAAGAAUGACUCCGAUCAAAAACUUUUGCUCCUGCCGGUCCAAAAGCGCAAGCAAAGUCAGAAAAUAGUACAGAUUAUGGGGAAAGAGCCUACAAUGUCUAAAAAGAAAACCUUACCUCAGGAUUCUUGUAAGAAUAGAGAUGUUCGAGGACAAGAUACAUUGAAAGCGAAAGCGUGACGACUACAAACACUCCAGCUAUCAAAGUCGCCCAAAUAGGUGGCGAAUAGCCCAAUAGAUAAUCUGUAAUCUUCAUCAGCGAUUAGCGACUACACUUUUGGCGGUAAAUCGGUAUAACUGAAUUCCCACUUUCCGGGAAAAAGAAGUUAAAAGUCAACUGAUAAUCAUCGUUAAUCCAUGAUUCAAAAUCAGAAAGAAUUUUAAUUGAACAUAAACAGAAAAAAAAGAAUUGGAAUCCCUAGGAAAAGAUAUGGAGGUAAAAGCCAAAGCCACAGAAGGUGACUCGAAUGGAACAUGAAACUGAGGCAUGCACGGACGCUGCUCGUGGAUCCGUUUUAUCUGUAAUCUCUUAGAUUAUUACUAUAAUACCCUUUUUAGAGUUUUAUUUAAUACAGCCCUGUUCUAACCCAACCCAGUAUGCAUUUUUAACCUGCUUAAAUUUAGGUUCUCUUCAAUGUUGUAACAAUAACGAUAUUGUAAUAUCAUUGAAUUGUUUUUUUUUUAUUUUUGAAUUAAUGCACUUUUAAGCAAGUCAAUUAGAAAUGUAAAGAGUAUAAAAUUUAUAUUUGUUUCUAAUGGUUCUUAAAUUUGUUGGUAGUGUAAUUUAUUAACACUGAGGACAAAAUUAUCCUAAGUUGUAACUUAUUCUAUUGCAUAUUCAUAUUUUUUAGAAAUAACAUGAAUUCAAAUCAUAAUUAUAUAAAAAAAAUUUGAUGAAUAGAUAGACUUUAUCAAAAUCAAGGUGUAGUUAAUUAAUUCGGUCCAAAUUAUCAUUAAAACACUGAUAAAACGUGAACGAGGUUCACAUGUUUAAUUCGAAUAGAAAAGAUGAUGAAAUGGGCUGCAGGUUGGUUUGUCGGGAGCAAUACAAUAUAGAUCCAGAUUAACUCAAUUUGGCAGCUUUCACCCGUUGCCAAAUCUUUGGUAGUUAAGCCAAAAUAGUACAAUUUAAUCUGCACGUUCAAAUCAUAAUCCUAUAAUACUAACAAGUUUUGUCUUUUAUUGCAGAACAAGACAAGCCAUUCGUGCACAUAAUUUCAUGUCCAAUCUUUUUAACUUCAAAAUAAAUGUGUCGUGAGUUGUAAGGAGACAUUGCAUCUACAAUGCAGAUAUUGCAUUUAAACCCCAAAUCCAGAAAAAUUAUUCGGUGUUUGAUGAGAAAUGAAGAUUCCUCAUACCUCACCUGAUAUAUAUAAUAUCCAUAUGGCAAAGACAGCCAUUACAGCUUUGAACUCAAUAAUGGCUACUUCACAUGCUCGGUCUAUCAGCUUGCCUUCUCGAUCAAACCCCAAAAUUCUUCAAAUACAAGAUAAAGCCUGUUGAAAUUGUCUCUCUGUCAAUGUCCGAAAUCAGCACCAAACUCGGUGGUGUUCGAGAUCUGCUCGAAAUUUUCGACGAGUUAUUGUUAUUGUCACACACAACAAGCUUUACUCUGAGGAUGUAAUGAAAAAUGGGCUGAUGACUUGCUUGACGGACUUGUUUUGCUACUGGACGUAUGCGGCAUUGCUAAGGAUGUGUUGUUGCAAUCCAAAGAACACAUUCGAGGACUCCGAUCGAUGUUUCGAAGAAGAAAAGCCAACGAAUUCGAGCUCACAAAGGAGAUCAGUCACUACUUGGCUUCCAGGAAGAAAUCAAACAAGUUGAUUCACAAAGUCUCAAAAGAUUUAAACACUAAACGUAGCUGUUCCACCUCGUACAACAAAGCCGGCAACGACAACACCAUGGCCACGGCAGACAUGUCGAGACAGAUCCAACAAGUCGUUCUCACAACACUCAAAUCUCUGCUAUUGUACAUAACAGGAUUCAAGACACAGUCAAAGGUUGGCAUGUGGAGUUUGGUUUCUAAUCUGAUACGGUCGAAACAUGUGGAUCGAAACGAAUUCGAGAAAGUAGAUGAUGCAUUGACGUGUUGCUUGAUCAUAAAGCAGAGAAACAUAGUAACCAGAAUCUACAAACCGAAUUGGGAAAACUGGAGUUGAGCUUUGAAGAUGUUGAACAAUAACUGGAAUGCUUGCACAGAGAUUUGAUUAAAACCAGAGUCACCCUUCUUAAUAUCCUUAAUCACUAGAUCAAACAAUGCCCUCAAAAUCAAAUCCUUGUAUAUGAAUGAAUGUACAAAUUUUCCUUGAUAUAGAAUUUUUUAAAGAUUUUGAUGUUGUUUAGGAAUCUGAUUUCUUCAAUUUUCUUUUCUCGGGCUGUAAUUUUAGUACCAAAGUAACCUGUUUUCAAAUUAAAAUUUCAGUCAUAAAAAUGGUAAAAACUACUGCCAAUUGAGAAAGAUGCGUGGCAGCAGGAGGAGACAGCCCAAGCUGGCUUGCAUUGUUCUCAGUCAAAGCCACUCGUGCAGUUGCAGAAACAAAUCUCAAGAAAAAUUAUCAGCGAUGGCCAACACCACAGAUUUUGAGAUUUUGGAUCAAAGCAGACAAAUCCCAUACUAUUAACAUGAAAGAUUCAGUAUUUUGUAUAAAAAUCAAACACGUUUUACAGUGUUAAGUGUUCCCUUCACACAACCACCUUUGUGGCAUAUCGCAGGCCUUUUUCUCUAUCUUCAACAUAUAUGCAAGGCAUUGAAAGAAUCCGAAACAAAUGGAAACCAUAUUUAACACCUCUCCUUUCAACAAUGGUUUUUUUUUUUUUAAUCAAAGCUUGGAUCACUGCUCUCAAGUACUGACAUGAAUAAAAGGGUAUAUACACAUUUUGAUACCUAAACUUGACCUCAAUGCUCAAAUUGGUACCAAAGGUUUUUUUUUAUCAAAUUAGUAUCUAAACUUGUUUUUUUUCUUCAAAUUAGUACUUGAACUUGGUUCCAUAGUCCAAAUUGGUCAAGUAAGUCAUUUAUCAUAGCUACUAAUUCAGACUAAAAAGCUAAGUUCAAAUACCUUUUUGAAUCAAGAAAUUAAGUUCAAUUACCUAAUUAGGCCAAGAUAAACUUUAGGUACCAAAUUAAACUUUAAAGUUAAGUUUCAGGUAUCAAAAUGUAUAUUUAUCUUAAAUAAAAAUUUCAUGGUCUUUUUUCCCACAAAUUUCCUUUCUUUUCUUACUUCUGGGGAUAGAUUUUAAUCAUCUUCACAGAGAAUUUUUGGUGCUUAUUUUUGCAUUCAUAGGCUUAUUUGUGCAUGUUGACUGUCUUAGCAUCAUUAUCCAUGGUAUAAGGGUGAAAAUAUUUGAUAGGUCCUUUAUUAUAAGGAUUUGAUUAAAUUAAUCCUUUUAUUAUUAAAUAAAUUAACAUAAUUUCUAUACUAUUAAAUAAUAAUAAGGCUAAAUUAGAAUAGAUUUAAUAUUUAUUGUUUAAACAAUAUUAUUUAUUGUGUAAAAAAUAAUAUUUUUAAAGUUUUUAUAAUUUUGUAAAUAAAAUAUUUUGUUCAGAAUUGAACUGCAGUUGAAAAAAAUUAAUUUUCAAGAUAUUUUUAAUAAAUUAAAUGUCAACUCAGUUAUAAUUUGAACUUAUUUAAUUUUUUAAUAGUAUAGGAACUAGAUUGAUAUAUUUAAUAAUAGAAAGGACUAAUUUAAUUUAGUUACUAUAAUAGAGAGAACUCCUAAGUACUUUUAACCUGAGUCUAAAUUUUCAUGAUGAGAGAUUUAUGCAAAAAAAAAAAACACUCAUUGACAAAACUUGAGUAAGAGGGACCUAAUACAAGCUUAUGUACAACAUUAGAUUUAAAAGUUGAGGAUAUUGGCAACGUAGGGUGUAAGAUUUUUGAACCAAGGGCUAUUUAACUGAGCCCAAAACUGAUCUUGGGUCCAAUCAGUCAACAUUUUGGGUAUUUGAAGUUGUCCCAUAUUUUCAUUGCCUAAUGGUAAUUGCAAAGAUGCAGAAGAAAUUUUCUUCUGUUCCUUUGCUAUUCCAUCUGAUCUUUUCUCUUUCACCAUUGCUUCCUCGUCUUCUUCUUUCUUGAAGACCACCAAAUCUUGUUUUGGUGUGCAGAAAGAGAUGGUGUCCAUGGAUGAGAAUGAAGAUGAUGAAGGAAGAGAUGUGUUCUUCAACUCUUCCUCCAUUGCUGCCCUUUGCUCCAACACUUUCAAGGAUGUUGCUUUCCUAUAUACUUUGCACAUCACUAUGUCCUGUAAACACCAACCACGCAGAUAUAAAUCAGACCAUGAAAAUAGAAAAUUUGCAAACUAGGUGUUUUCAUUUUAGUCAGCUAAUUUUAAUAAAUUUUCAUUUUGUUAAUUGGGUGAAGGGUGGGUGAUUUUUCUAACUUGAAGAAAUUGUGCAUAUAUAUACCUUGGGCAAAGUAGCAUCAGGGAGACGAUACUCAUUCGUAACCCAAUCAGUCUUGCAUCCUCGUUGAGCUCUCCCUUUAUAGAAAACAAGUGUCUUUUUGAAGCCAAUCAUCUUUUUCUGAUCCGAUAAGCUCACAAUUUUCCGAUCAGAACCGGUGGCUUUCCAGAACCCAUUUUUAGUAGUCCUGUUAGGCCUCCCUCCUUUCCCAUGUUUCCUGUCUAUUGGCACAAAAAAAUACCAUUCUCUCUCUCCAACCUUUGACAACCCUAUCAAAACAUUAUCAAUCAACAACUCACAUAAAUAAUCACUAUUAAUCCAGCAAAUGAAAAAUCAUAUAUAUAUAUACCAGGCAGGUCCCAAGGAUCAUGGUGAUAGAUGUUGAGAAAUCCAAUUACAUCAUAACUCAACAUCUUGCCAUAAACGAUGUUUCUAAGGUAAAAUUCUAGCAAUUCUUCCUCCGUUGGGUGGAAUCUAAAGCCAGGAAGUUCAACCUCUGGGUUUGAUUGGUAGCUCAUUGUGGUUAGCUUUAGUGUCACUAAACACUUGUCUUGCUUACUGUCAGCUUGAAUCAAAGCUAUAUUUGUAUGUGCAUGCAAAAGCCUGAGCCUUGGGAGAUUGAUAUUUUGUAAGGAUGGUAGAUAAGCAUUGCUGGGUUUAUAAAUGUUUGGACAGUGAACACUCUAAAGACCAAGUCAUCAACAAAAGCAAGUCCUUGAUCUUGUGUUCGAAAAUAAUUUGCAAGAAAAAGAGUAUGGUCUUUCAAUGGAACCCACACGCUUUUAGAUAACUGACCAAUGACUGAGUGAGUAUACACCCACUUCAUUUUCUGGCUUCUUGCUUCAGCUAAGCUUCACUUACUUUUAUUUAAUCACUUAUUUUUCAAAUUUUAAAAUUUCAGUUAUCACCAAACAAUAACAGUUAAAUUUAUUAAAUAAAAUCUGAUGCACCAUUUAGAUAUUAUCAUAUGUGUAAUAAUACUAUAUCAACUUAUUAUUUUUAUAUAUUUCUCACUAAAAUUUCUGUUAAUGGAUUAAUGACAGGCAUUUAGGUCCAUACUGAAAUUUUAAAAUUUGAAAAAGUAUAAAAAUUUAGAAUGAUCCAAUUAGAGAAUAUAGGUACAAGACUAGUAAUUGGAUUUAACCAAACGAACUUAACUAUUAUUGUUUGGACGAGGACUAAAAUUUUAAAUUUUGAAAAAUAAAAAAAUUAAAAAUUGACCAAUUUAAAAAAUAUAGAUAUUAAAAAUGAUCAAACAAAAAUUUAAAGAUUAAAUUCAUAAUUUGUUUGGACAUUCUUUACUUGGAAAUUCAAGAGCGGUAGGGGUUUUUCUUUUCCAAGUAACUUUGUGCCACAUAAUUUGAUUUUUAAAACAAAUGAGCUAAGAUUGAUGCAGAUUCAAGCCAGAAUCUUGAAUUGGUCAUAAUAACUAAAUUCUCUGGAAAGUUGUAUGCAUGUUCCAGGAUAUUAUUUUCUAAAUGAUAACAUCUUUCAGGAAACUGGCAAAGACUUGACUUCUGUUUUUCUUUUCAUUUUUGUUUUCUAAUAUCUUCUGGCAAAGACUUGACUUAUAACGUUGAAAAUAUGUUCUUUUAUAAUUAAAUUUAAAGAAAAAAAACAUUUUUGUCUUUAUAGAUCGGUUUAAUUAGGAAACAAAUAAAGAAAUUUCGUGGUUUUGAAGAAUGCUUUCGACUUGGAAGUUGAGUUGUUUAUGACUGAAUUGAUCGGGUCAAGGUAUAGGAUUGCAUUUUAUCUUUUUAUUUUAGAUAAAAAAGUAAUUUAAUUUUAAAAAUUCUAUUUAUUUUUAUUAUUAAAAGUUAGUCGUUUAACUUAUCUAUUUUUAGCAGAAAAGACAAAAAACUAUAUAACUCUUAAUAUAUAUCCAUAACACUUUUAUUCUAAUACAACUUAUAAAUUUAUUUCUCUCUUUAAAAUAUUAAUGAAAAUUAAAAAACUAUGGUUUGAUUUUAAUGAAUUUUAAUAUAGGUGUAUUUGCGCUAUUAGUUCUGGCACUCUUUUAAUCUUUUUUUUUUAUUUAAAAGAUUUAAUUACUUUAGUAUUUGAAUUUUAAUAAUUUAAGUUUAAUGUUAUCAGUGGAAUUUCAUUAAAUUAGAUUAUAAAGUAAUUAAAAAAGGAUUUAUAAGAUCAUAUUAACAUUUUUAUUUGUUUUUUUGAUCUUCUACAUGUGUAACGUUGACCAUUUGUACAAUUUGUUUUUUAAUUGCAAUAUAAUCUAGUUUAAUGAAAUAUUUCAAUUAUGAUUAGACUUUUAAGGACUAAAUUCUUGGAAUAAACACUAAUGUUAAAACUUAAUAAAAACUAUUAAAAAUGCAUAAUAAUACACUUAAUAAAUAUAAAAAUAUAAACAUGAGACACAUGACAAUAAAUAUCUCAAACUUGAGAGAAAUUAAAUAUUCUGGGUUGUGUUUCACUAGUAAUACAAAAUCAAAGAGGUGGUUCAUGUUGAUGAGCAGCAGCUGGCGGCCACCACACCACCGUUAUGCCUUUGCGUAGGGAAGGACCGGAGCAGCACAAAAGCAGACAGAAACUGAGAACAAAAAAACAAAACUAAAAGCCGGUCGGCAACAGUUGUCAGAUUCUCCGGCCCCAUGACCUGAACCUGAUGAUAACAUGCUUCUUCUAGGCAACCAAUGGCCGUAUACCUUUGUACUAUAUUGUUCCUUGCUAUAGGAGUAGGACCAGGCAGCCAUGAAAUGAUGUUAUUAUACUUGGUUAAAUUUACAACUAAUUCUCAUUUUUAAGUUACAAUUUUUUUAACCAUUUAUUCAGAACUCAAAAAUCAUCAAAUAAAUGAGUUCCAAGGGAUGAAUGACUGAUUUCUUGAAGCUGUUCAUUGAAAUGCAUGUACAUGGUAGAAACUAUCACAUCAUAAGAUAAUAUAUGAAGCUUUCCAUUUAUGUUCAAGCAAAAGUCCCCCCAAUCCCCAAAGGCUAACAAAACUCUUAUUAAUAUCAUAUAAUGCAAAUAACACAUCAAUAUCAGGGCAAAAUGGCUAGUGAUUUCACCUUACCACUUGAACUAGUCAAAGUCGAGUUUAGCAAUUACAUCAUAAUCAGCGGCUAUAGUUCAAAAAUACCACUGUCCCUGCAAAUGAGCUGGAGAAUGUAGCAAUGGUAGUAUUGUAGUCUGAAAUUCAGAUCCCAACCGAACUAAGAACAAAAUAUGUAAAACUUUCAUCAAAAGUAAUGCAAGCAUACCUAUUCUUUCUAUAUAUAUGAUAUUUUACAUCACCAUAGAUAACCAAAAUACAACUUAAAUGCCCAAGUAAAUGAGUUACCUCUUUUAAUACCAAAACAAGACCACUUCUGUCAACUUUCUUUAUCUCUUGUCAUUAAUCAAACCUUACCAUAUUGUUAAUGGCAUGGUUGGUAUAUAUAUAUAAUGACCCAAAAAUCAAAGUAAAAAGCUAAGACUAAGAGCCUAAAACACCCUUUUUUUUUGCUUCUUUUCCAUGUUAUUCCAUUUUCAUGUCUCUCCUUUAUAGAGUGAUCUCAGUCUGUAAAGUAGUAGUAGUAGCAGUGAAAGCCAGCUGUUCAGCUUCCCAACUUGCUUUAGCAAUGACUCCAUGGACAGGCACAUACUCCUAAUCAAAAACAAAAAACACUGUCAUCUUUUUACAAACAAAACAAGACACAAUAAAACAUGUCACCAAUGUAGUAAAGAUUGCUUUUUUAAACCUCCAUAUUGUCUAUUUCUAUAUAUGAAUAACUCACCUCAAGCUUUUGAACCAGUUCUUUAGAAUUUGGUGCAGAGACAAAGAUAUGGCGUUGGGAAGGUUUGAUAAAGCCAUCAUCCACGGCUUUGUCGAUGAAAGUAAGUAAGUAGUUAUAAUAGCCAUCAACAUUAAGCAAACCUACCUGUUGGAUACCCAAAAAAGGUUUCAACUUUUUAAAGACAUAACCUUGAAAAGUAUGUUCCUUUUUAAAAAAAUAAAAAAGCAAAGUUUUUCUUACAGGUUUGUCAUGGAUUCCCAACUGAGCCCAAGUUAUGACUUCUAAUAACUCCUCUAAAGUUCCAUAGCCACCUGAAAUGAAACAAGAAAGCAAAACUAGCACUAUGCGGGCAUGUUUUGGGACAGAAUUUGCUUUUAAUAAUAUUUAAGAGUGAAAUGGGGGACCUGGUAGGGCAAUGAAACAAUCAGAGUGAUUGGCCAUUUCUGCCUUUCUUUGGUGCAUGUCAGCUACUGCCCUUACUUCCCCAAUAGUUUCACCACUUAUCUACGGCUCCACAACCCAAUGAGACAUUCUCAAAACAUCAUUGGAAAGCUAAAGAUUAAAUAUUUAAAAAGAAUGGUUAAAAAAAUGAAAACAAAAGUAUCUGAUUUGCACCUCUUUACUCAUUAGAGUUCUAGGAAUGAUCCUGUUAACAACAAACAUAAAAAAAAUUUGACGGUCCAUGCAUUGAAAUCACAUAAUACCCAGAAAAAGAAAAAAACAUUAAAUGAGCACUAGAGUGGUGAGUGUACCCAAGAACAUUGCCUCCACCAUGGUGAACAGCUUGUGAAACCAAACCCAUUAACCCAGUACUCCCUCCUCCAUAAACAAGGUCCAAUUUUCUUGCCACCUUUCAAAAACAACCCAAAACCCCAUUAAACUAACAUUAACAAAACAAGUAAAGAACAACAACAAAGUGAUCAAAAGAGAAAAGGGCUAUGCUUUAAUGUUUUAAGUGUAUACCAAUUCUUGGGCUAAUUCAACAGCAGCAUCUCUGUAACAUUUCCUCUUGCCAGUACUGCUCCCACAAAACACACAUACCCUCUUGAAUCUUGAUUUCAAAACUUCCCCUUUCAUGUCCAUAUCUCCACAGAUGUUUCCCCUGUUUGCUUACUCUUAUACCAAAAGUGGGCUCUAGAGAGAGGAUAAAAGGGACAAGCAAGCUCCUUUACUUCACUUUGGACUAAGUAAUUAAGAAUGAAACAGGCUACGGGCCCCUAUUUUAUAAGCAAAGAAAAUUCACUCUUCUUCUCAAAAAUCAUAUUUUAAAAAAAAUAAAAAUAUUAAUUUAACGUACCAUAUUUUACAAUUUAUUCCCAUGCAAAAAAAAUGAAAAAGAAAACCCAUAUUAAUAAACUAAAAAUAAUGGACUAAUAGAUAUCAUACAAGAAACAUGAAGAUUUGGAACAAUAUGUAUCAUCAUUAAUAUCAUACAUUUUAACUCAGAAGAUUCAUUUUCCAUUUUCAAUCAUAAAAUUCAAGAACCAAUGUUUAGGGAAUAGGCAUGAGGUUAUAACCUAUUUGAUGAUUGGUUUUCUGAUGAUUCUGAUAAGUUCAUCAUAAAGCAUUCGCCAGAGAAGAGGUGCUAGCUAUAUUUGCUGUGCUUUUGCAGCUAUGGGUUCCUUUUGUUUUCAUUACAAAAGAGCCAAAAAGCCGAUCUUGCUGCUAAAACAGCAUUUAUUUGUUUGUUUUCCACUGACUAAAGCAAAAUGCAUAUUGCUGUUUCAGGUUAAAAGUUUGAGAGCUUCAGGUAUUCCCUUCAAAGCUGUAUUAUCAAAAGCAGCUUCCAUUACCCAAAUAAUGCAAAUGGCAGCUUGCAAUAUGAAAAAUCCUUCUUUUCACAGAAAUGAAACCCCAAAGCAAAAAAGAAAAAAAGAAAGAAGCAUAAAUUAUGUGCAUUUGUGCAUUAAAUAGGGUGGUAAGGGUUACAUCAUAUCCUUAAUCAUCAUAAUGAUUUACUACACAACUUUUUAGAUUGCAUAAACUGUAAGGGAAGGUCUCUUUUCUCACUUAACAAUUGUUGGGUUUUUACAGGCGGUUAAUAAAGUUCACUUCUACCUUGUGUUUUAAUGGCCAUUAAAGUAAUGGCAAAUCAAAGAUCCAUUCCAUUAUGUUCAUUUGUCAGCUGAAGGUAGAAAAUUGCAGCAAGGCCAUUGCUGUUGUUGAACCUUCCAUUGCAUUAGCCAGUAGCUCUUUAGCCCUGUUUCCUUUCUCUUCUCAUCUACUACUUACUAUUUGAUGCUCUUCACAUUUUCCUGCAACCUUAAUGACAUUAUAUUGAAUGUAAUUUUCUUUUUCCCUCUUCGUCCUGUUAGUUCAAGAAAUAUUUUAAUUGUUAAUGUCAGAGGAAGGUUUUUUCUAUGUCUCAAGGACUUGCUUACAAUAUUAUUCAUGUCAUAUUUCGAUAUCCUUAUGAAAUGAGCAAAGCCUUAAUUAGUAAUUAUAGUGUUGUAGUAGGUUCUUUAAUGCAAUAAAAUUUCAGUUUACCGGUAGGUAGUUGUUUACUAAUUAGUCUUCUAAAACCUUCAUUAUUACACUUUCAAGCUGUUGAAGUCAGCUCCCAUGCAGCAGCAAAGGUGACCAUGCAGGGAACGUGCUUCAACAGCAAAUUGGUGCAGCAAGCUGAAGCUAUUCAUUUAGUUUCUUUAAAUGAAUGUUUUGUAUUUAGUUAGGAUCAAACUUAGUUGGUAGCUGCAUUUUGAUGUAACUAAGUGAUGAAUGACAAGUUUAGGUAGCUGUUUAUGUAUUUAAACAAGUUUACCAAGUUACUAGGCAAAUUAGUGGUGUUAGGUAAGUUAUUAGGUGGUAACUUGUUUGUUUUGCUAUUGUAAUCCCUUAUAUGUAUUGGCAUCAUGUCUUCUUAAAAUGUUAAUGAAAAUUCAGCUCAUUUUCAUUCAAAUCUCUCUCUUUCUUUUCUGUUUUCCAUUGUAAGUUUUUUUUCUUCCUUGAUUGUUUCUGCUGCAAGCCUCGAGACUUGCUGUUUAAGCAAAGUUGAAAUCAGCUUGCUGCUGCCUCUUGCACCAACACAAGCCCCUUUAAAAUCUGUUUAGCUAAAGCUAAUGAAUGUAAUGGUGUGACUCAAACCCCUGUCAUCUUCCACAUUAGGAUCUAACAAAAGCUUGGCUUUACAUACCCUGCCGCCAAAGAAAGCCUUGCGCUCAGCCGCUGUCCUCCAUGGGUCUCUUGGCUGACUAUAAAAUCCAUGAAGAGGCCGAAUCAUCGUCUUUCCAUUCUAUCAAAUAUUCCAUGCCUUCCCUGCCCGGUAGAGCUCUGCUGCCGAUGCUUUUGCUGACUUCAUUGCUAAUGCUUGCUUCAACUGUGUUCCCUGCUUCUUGGGUUCCAAGUGAUCGUGGUUGUGGCAAGAAGAUUGGAGACGAGUUGCUUUCAUUAAUUGACACUGGAUGGCUCCAUGUUGUCCCCGAAAUUUAUUAGGGUCAAUUACACUUAAGGUCGCCAAACUCUUACUGAGUUUACAUUUUGGUUACGAAAUUUAUUAAAGCUCCGUAACCAAACAUUUUAUAAAAAAAGAACUUAAAAUCCGAAUGAUUUAAAUGAAAAACUUAUGAAUAUUUUAUGACUUUUAAAUAAUUUAAUGACUAUUUUAUAACUUUUUAAAAAUAAAUAACCAAAAUAUAAAUAUACUAAAAAUUUAAUCACUUUAGUAUAAUUUAUUCAAUUUAUUGUUACCGCCAUUUUCCGAACAUUGUUCACCCAUGAGUUGCCCAAAUGCUGCAAAUUGGGCUAAACUAUAGUGUCGCAGGCCUGCUCGGAUUUUCCUAUGGUCUUCACUCUUUUUGAAUAUUUAUUUUUAAGUACAUUUAUUAAUUUUUAUACUUAAAAUUACUUUUGCUCAAUAGUUAAAUUUAGAAUUAAUAAUAUAUAUUAAAUAUAAUAAUAUAAUUUAAUAAUAAAAAUAUCAAAAAUAAAAAAAUUCAAUAAGAUUUAUAGAUAGUUCAAAUCAAUUAUUACCUAAUUCAUUCAAAUCAAUUAUUACCAAAUUUGAAUUUGGAUCAAAUAAUUAUCAAAUCAAAACGAAUAUUUAUGAAGUUUUAAAAGGAGGAGAAUAUAUAUUGAUUCCUUAUAAAACCUUGAUCCAAUUAAUUAGCAUGUUUUACGUUUUCCAAAUUGUGAUCAUAAAAAUUUAUAAAGAGGGUGGGUGAGGUCCAAAUGCCAAAUUGCCACGUCAAGUAAUUCAUCAGACUGGAAUUAUCCUUUAUCAAAAUGCGUCCUUGAGAGUCAACUCCCCUCUCCUCCAACCACGUGUCCUUGCAUAAUUUAAUAUUUUAAACAGUCAGCUAUCCAAAAUAACAAGUGAUUAAUUAGUGUCUUUAUUGAUUAAGAAUGUAGUUGGCACACAAAAAUAUGUGGAUUAUUGCAUUAAACUUUAUUAUAUUAAGUAUUUAAAUUAAUUAAUAAAAUUAUAAAAUGAAAAUACAAAUCCAUUAUAUUUCACACGGAAUGGGGGAUGGAUUUGAGUAUAAGAUAGUAAUUAAAAAGAUAUUGAUAAUCUUAUAUUAAUUACUGAUUACUCUAAAACACAAUGUUAAUCCUCCAGAAAUGAGAUACGUGGGCGUUACCGACAGUACUCUCAAAUCUUAUCCAUUAAAUAUCCCCAAGCAAAUAUAAAAUAGAAUAUCUAAAAAAGGAUCAGGUUAUGGUAUUGUAUUGUCCCACCUCAGCUUGUUUUGUUAAUACAGUUUACCCGCGGAACUAAAAUAAAACAAUUAGGAAAUAAAACCAAAAAAGUAAAAUCUCUCCUUUUCUUCUUUUUCUUUAAAUAUGCGUCUCCAUGUAUGAUAUAAACUGAACGUAAAUCGCAAUCACAAUCACAUUCACGCUUUUCUUUAUUGCUUUCGCUUUUUUUUUCUCAAACCAAUGGUGAUGGAGGAUACCGAGAGUUGCGGGAGCAAAGCUAACGAUACGCCGCCGUUGCAAAGCCAGAAACAGCGGCUAAAGUUUGACGUCUACAAUGACGUGCUCCGACGGCUUCGACGAUCCGAUAAAGAAGAGGCUGAUCGGCCCGGCUUUGACCACCAACUCUGGACUCACUUCGAUCGCCUUCCUACUCGGUAUAAUAGUAUAUAUGUUUUUUUCUUCAUAAUUUACUACAUGCAAAAAAUACGACCUGAAAUAAGGCAACGUAUUCAGUCUUUUUUAUUUUUAUAUAAUUUUUUUGUAAUUAUGAUUUUUUUUAAUCGAGAUACUGAAUCUCAGAUGCGUUCUUUUUUUCCUGUUUGCCUUUCGUGCUUAGAAUUAUAGAUAGCGUUGGAGUUAAGGAACUGUUUGGAUUAAAAUUAUGGUUAAAAUUCUCUAGCGGUUAAUAAGAAAAUUUAUAGGUUACGGUUUUGUUGUUAGUUUCGAUCAGUGGAUUAAUAUCGUAUUUUUUUCUUUUGCUGUUGAUGAUAUCAGAAUCAAGUAAUAACUGAAGCAGAUUUGAUAGUUUGCUUUUCUUUUCAUUCAUCAGAAAAUUCAUUUUUUGAACAAAUUAUAAAUAGCUGUUUGAACUAAGCUGAGCUGAUUAUACAUUGCAGCUAUGCUUUGGAUGUGAAUGUGGAAAGAGCAGAAGAUGUUCUUAUGCACCAAAGAUUACUGCAUUUGGCUCAUGAUCAUGCCACUAGACUAGCAAUGGAAGUUCGUCUCGUGCAGGUGACUUGUUUUUCCUCUUUCUUUUUUUUUCUUUAGUUACAUUUCAUAACUAAGAACUAAGAUUUUCUCUACGUUCUUAGUAUAGGUGAAAAAAUUGGUAUUCCUAGACAUUAGCAUAAUCAAAUGUACCAUGAUGAUUACCUGCUUGUGUAGGUGCAAUCUACCUCUGAUGGGAACUCUCCAAGUGAGGAAUCUGCUCAAAGUUCUAGGAAAUCGUCUAACAGACAAAGGUAUGCUUUAGAAAAGCUUUUACGAUCCAUACCAUAAUUUACAUGUAUUACUUUCUUAGAAACAGCUCUCAUAUGUCUACUUGUUUUUAAGGCUUGUAUAAUCUAUUUGCCUCUUGAUAUUUUUCUUUCAAUAUUUUGCUUGUUCAUUUUAUACAUUGGCUGGUGUUAAUGAUGAUAACAACUCUUGACUGGCUUUUCAAUUGUCAGCAUACAUCCGCCACCUGCCUUUGGCUCCUCCCCUAAUCUCGGAUCCCUUGCUGAUCAAGAUGGAGAUAAUUCUGAACAUGGCAAUUCACAUUUUUCCAGGUAUUUAUUUAUGUCUUAAAAUGUCCUUAUGCAAGCGAUGAUUGGUUAAGUUAGUGUCUUAGUGGUAGCUUUGUUUUUGUACUUGAUAAACUUACCAUUUUUGAAUAUCAUGUAUUGGUUCUUUUAAAUAUUCAGGAGCACAUUAAUGGACAAACUCUUGUAUAGGACCAAGUUUUCUUACCUCAGAGCUGUGCUUCACACGUGCUAUCUUUUAUUGACUAAAGUUUGAGUUGUUUAUGCACAUUUGUGAUUGACAUGUUCAGCUUCUGUCCCUCUGGCUUAUUUUUCUACUGAUAUUUGGAUAAUUUUUUGGUGAAUCUUUGUAAAUACUUUCUAUCAUUUUGGAUGGUCAAAAUUGCAUUCUUUUCCAAUUGUUGCUGAUGCAGGCCCAUGCAUGAAAUUACAUUUUCAACAGAAGACAAACCAAAACUUCUCAGUCAGGUAAAGUAUAUGUUUAUUCGUGGAAUUACAAGAAUAUACUUGUUAUUUUGAAUUUGAUGCUUCAUGAAAUCGAGAUGGUUAGACUUUUAUAUUAUUUAGGAAUGAAGUUGUUGAUAAAAAAGUAAGCCUUAGGGUCUGUCUGGGUCCUUGGUACAAGUAACUGGAAGCUUAUUGUUCUCUGGCUACUGGUUAGUCUUUUUUCAUGUCAAAACUACAAUCAUUAUAUUGUUACCCAUGCUUGAAUUACUCCUCUAGAGAGUCUAUGAGCUUACAUGUGAAGUGCACAUAGUUUUAGAUUUUUGACUAUGUAAUAUUACUUCUAAUUCCAUUGGGCCAUAACCAUGCAAUAUUUGCAGUUGACAGCAUUGCUUGCUGAGAUUGGGCUGAACAUCCAGGAAGCACAUGCAUUUUCUACAGUUGAUGGUUAUUCCUUAGAUGUUUUUGUUGUUGAUGGUUGGCCAUAUGAGGUACUUUUCAUUUUAAUAUCUUACUUCAGUAGCCAAGGACAUAAUUAUUUUUUACAAUGACCCUUUAACUAAAAAAGAAAGAAUAACAGCUCUGGAGAUCGGUUUUUGUAUAUUUUAUUUUAGCUGUCUACAAAGUAUCCUUAUUAUAGCUCAAAAUUCCCAAUUUAUGAAUUCUGUCAUUUGUUAGUUUAGAUGGUAAUUGUUUUUGUUUUCUUGGAAGUCAUUGAAACUCCGUUGGGGAACUAUAUGAUUCAUGAUUGCUGCACAAUUAGAAGGAUUAAGCUUAAACAUUGACCUAUCAGAAUAUUAUAAUUUUUUUAGACUUGCUUGACUUAUGAUAUGAAAUUGUCAGGAAACGGAGCAGCUUAAAGAUGCUUUGGAAAAGGAUCUCUUAAAAAUUGAGGUAAUUCAUUACGGCAGUUUUAAAGUGUGUUAAAUUACGUGUGAGACUUUUGAGUGAAAGAUCUCUCCUUUUGCUAAGGUGUUUCUUCCCACAAUUAAAGUGAUUAUGGAAUGUCAUGGUGUUAGUUCUAUCUGCAAAGCUUACAGUUCACUUGCAUUGAAUGUACUCAUCAUUUUGUCGUGCCCUAUUAUGCUAAAGUACUGGUUACUAGGACUAAUUUCAUGAAACUUUUUUGUUCCUGGCCUUUGUUCGUCUUGUCUAUCUUUUCAAGUAAGCACUGGAUGAUGAUGCUUAUAAAAUUGAUCAGCUGUAAACGGCCCCCUCUGCAUGAUAAUUCUUUCUAAUUUGUGAAUCCAAUGCUAAACAAAGGUUUAACUAAUUUUAUGAUUGGCAGGCUUGGUGACAAAAUAAUUCUUACUACAAUCCUAACAGUAUGCUUAAAUGCAAAAUGUUUAUAAAGAAAUGGAAAUGUUGAUGUGAGAGUCAGAAUUUAUUAACUGAAAGUUUGGGCUUUAUAUUAUGAGCAACUCUAAUUAGACUUUACUUUCAACUGGUUUUUAUGCAGAAGCAAUCUUGGCUGAAACAACUUCCCACUUCUCCUACAAAGGGCCAGGAGACUAGGACCAAAGGUGAUCAGAAUUAUGUUGCAAUUCCUAAUGAUGGGAGUGAUGUUUGGGAAAUUGAUCCUAGACACUUAAAGUUUGAGAACAAAGUUGCAUCUGGGUCAUAUGGGGAUCUGUAAGUGAAUUAAUUACUUUCUAUUUGAUCCUUUUUCUCCCUUUUGAGCAUUAAUAACAUUGUCCUUGUUACCCUGUUUCAGGUAUAAAGGUACUUACUGUAGUCAGGAUGUGGCUAUUAAGGUCCUCAAGCCAGAGCGUGUAGAUACUGAUAUACAGAAAGACUUUGCCCAGGAAGUCUUUAUUAUGAGGUUUGUAUUAGCUGAAAUGACAGGCUUCUCUAAUUGCUGUUCUUUAUGUUUAUAGAUGCAUACCAGUGUCCAUUUAGGAAGCAGUUACUUGCCUGACAUCCUUGAUCAGUUUUCAAAUAUUUUACCUUUCUUUCAUCAUGAACUCCACUGCUUUUUAAUACUUGAUCAAAAUAGAAUCCUUCUUUUGGAUGACUGCAUUAUUAAUUUGCUCCUUUAAUAAAAAAUUCCUCCAAAAUUUUCAGGAAAGUUCGGCAUAAAAAUGUAGUACAAUUUAUUGGUGCAUGUACCAAGCCUCCAACCUUGUGUAUUGUAACAGGUAUUCUGAUGAUUCUUUAUUGACUAGAUGAAAGUGAAUUUUAAGACUAUUGUUCUUUCAUCCUUGGAUAUACUCUUUUCUAAAUGUUCUUUCAUUUUCUUUCUCUCUGCAGAAUUUAUGUGUGGUGGAAGUGUGUAUGACUAUCUUCAUAAACAGAAGGGUGUUUUCAAGCUUCCAUCAUUGCUUAAAGUUGCAAUAGAUGUUUCCAAAGGAAUGAACUACUUGCACCAAAAUGAUAUAAUCCACAGGGAUUUGAAGGCUGCAAAUCUUCUGAUGGAUGAAAAUGAAGUCAGUCCCUAGAAUUUACUUAAGUUUAUCCUCAGCUUUUUCCAAGUUCCUCUCAUUGUGAUUCUACGGCAUGCUUUUCAUAUUACAGGUGGUUAAGGUUGCUGAUUUUGGGGUUGCUAGAGUGAAAGUUCAAUCUGGAGUUAUGACAGCUGAAACUGGAACAUAUAGAUGGAUGGCUCCAGAGGUGUGCUCUUAACCCUACUUUUUGUUCUUCGAGAUAAAAAUGAUUAUAAAAAUGUUAUUUAUAUUUGUUCAUUUAUCUUGAUAAACAAACAGAAAUUUGGAUUAUUUAUCAAACGCCAUGUUCAUUUACAACCCUACACUAAACAUACAUUAGGGAACCGGUUUACUUGCCUCUUGGAUAUCUCUUUAUUCAUUGUUGCUUUUAUUUUCAUCUUUAGAUAAUUAAUUGGUAGUAGCUAGUAGCGAUCAUUUGAAUUGAGAUUGCUGUCAUCUUGGAUAUCCUACAACACUUUGUUUUGCAUUGAAGGUCAUUGAACAUAAGCCAUAUGAUCACAAGGCCGAUGUUUUCAGUUUCGGAAUCAUGUUAUGGGAGUUGUUAACUGGAAAGGUAUUGCUGGAUCAAUUAUCUUUUCUUUUGAUUAUAUGUUUAAGGUAUGCAUGCAUUAAGAUAUGUGUUUUUGUUUGUUUUGGGUUGUUGAAUCCCAUGGUUACCUUGCUGCUUUUGUUUCCAUUGUCAGCUUCCAUAUGAAUACUUAACCCCAUUACAAGCAGCUGUAGGAGUGGUUCAAAAGGUUCGUCAACUUUUUUCUCAAUGCAAUGUUGAUAAUGAUUUUUCAUAGCAUAGGUUGAGAACAAAAUUAUUAUCACGUAAAAGUGGUAAAAGUAUUAUGGACUAUAGAGGACUUGUAUUAGAAGUUAAAUUGUAUUUUAUUCUCUUUACUAAAAAAAAAUAACAAAUUAGUCCUUAUAUGUUAGAUAAAAGAGUGGGCCAAUUUUUAACAAUAAAAAUUGAUGAAAUUUUUAACAAAAUGAUCAAUUUGCUCUUUAAUCUAAUGUAUAAGAACUGAUUUACUUAUUUCUUAAGUAAAUGGGACAAAAUGCAAUGCAAAGAUGAGCAUGAUACUUUUACCUAUAAAUGUAAUGAUUUGUCAUUGACAUUGAUUCCAGGGAUUACGUCCCACAGUCCCAAAGAACACUAACCCGAAGCUCACUCAACUGCUAGAGAGAUGCUGGCAACAAGAUCCAACACUAAGACCUGAUUUUUCUGAAAUCAUAGGCAUUUUACAGCAAAUUUCCGAGGUCUGUUUUCAUUCUGUGCACAUGUUAUAGUUUAUAUACUUGCAAUAACUCGAACGACAUGAACAUUGAUAUCGAAUUUUAUAAAAACAGGUAGGAGAUGAAGGGAAAUCUUCUGGAGGAUUUUUCUCAGCUCUUAGAAAGGCAGCAAAGUAGAUAAAGUUAUAGAAACAUAGGCUUUUCAACUAUGUUGGCGAUUCCCUCCCAGCAUUUUCAUCACUUCUGUACAGCAUUAUUGUCCAUUAUUUAACCCAUUUUUUGCUGGUAUAAAAUGAGCUUUUGUGACAUGAUUAUUUCUACAGUUAGUAUUUUUCUUUCUUUUUCUGAACCAAUUUUGUUUUCUUUAUUUCGAAUAACAAUGGGUCAUGUUUUUGAUGAAUUUGUCCACAUCUACUGAUAAAGUAUUGGAUCUGCUUUAACCCAAUAAAUUGUUAUUUUUGCUGUGAGAGUUUUUAUUUAUUUAUUAACUUAGCAUGUGUCUACCAUCCUACUUAUUAACACAUUAUUUAAUAUUUUGUAAUAUUUAACACAUAUAUUUUAAAAUAGUUAGACAUAAAAUAAAAAAUAAUUAAUACAAAUUUAAACAUAUAAUUAGAAAAAUAGAGUACCUAAGAAAAUAAGGCUUUUUUCAAAACACCUAAUAUUUAUUUAUUAAGUAUUUAUUUAUUUAUUAAGUAUGCAAAAAAGAAAAAGACCCCAGAACUUCUAAUAAUAUCAACAUUCAAAGCCCAUGUACAAAAAAAGCCUGUAAGAAUUCACAGAUCAAAACCCUAUCUAACUAAACACCAACAUUUCAUCAAUCGAAAACAAUGAUGCAAUGCUUGAAUAUGAUGCUUUUAAAAAAAAAUCAAUCCUUCAAUUACAAAAAAAAAAAUACCAAACAAAUGAAGCUUUGGGGGCUGCCUGCCUGCCUACCUCAAAUGCUGAAACCAAGCUCCACGUGUAAAUUUUCUUAAUGAGUUUGCUUCAAUGAAUUAAUGCGAAGAGCAGUGAUGUUUUUUGCCUUGGAAAAAACAUCUCUUUUGCCAGUACCACCGUGUGAAGGCAUGAAAUAUACCAACAGAGACCGUACAACACUGACAAGUAUGGAUGAUAAUCGAGAUCUUAUACUUGAUACUUUGAUAGUUUGUCUUUCUCAGGUGGCUCCAAUGCAGAUAUACAUUGGUCCCAUGCCCCAUUCCUUAGCAUCUGCAACAAUUCAGUGAAUGAACUUAGUCUAAUGCAUAAUAUAAUUUGUUUCUAUAAAUACACCAAAAUAUAGAUCAUCCUCGAAUGAAUAUUAAUUCACUGCAAUUAAGAUAUCCUAUCAAAUUAUAGAAAAAGACAACUUUUGCUAAAUAGGUGUGUGUUUGCAUUUACCCCAAAUGAAGUAAUACAUGCAGUCAGAAAUAUUUAAAGGAUUUUUAGCAUUUUAACAUAUACAUAUAUAUAUAUAAAGACAAAAAUAUUCAGGAAAUAACAAAGAACCCCCCACCUGUUUAUAACCGUGCAAGACCUGGCAAACUUCAUUAUGUAGUUCUCCAUUCCUUAUUUCCUACAGGCAUACAACAAUGUCAAAAAGCUCCAACUUCAGUUUAACAUAUACAACCCUCUAAAACAUUUAUUAACAGCAUCCUUACAUCCCAACUUGCAAUAGCUUUGCACAUCAAAACAAGUGAACUCAGAGCAGCUGAUGGGUUCGCUCGGACCUGAAAACGUUGGGUGUCAUCCAGGUAAAAUUAGAUUAUUUUGAGUUAAUGAUGAUGAUUAGAACAAGAGAUGCAUACCACUGCACAUAGACCUCGGAAGGCAUCUUCUUUCUCGAUAUCAUCACGUAUCCUGCCACAAAUUGUUUGAUAUAAAGACAAUGCUAAACCGCACCACGAGAGUAGCUUAACAGUACAUCAAGAAAAGAAAUCAUAAGGGAAAUGAAUCGAUACUUACAUAGACAAAGAAAUACACCAUGGUUGCAUGAAAUGCUCCAUGUGUGGUGAUACAAGGUCUGGACACACCCAUGCAAGUCUCCCUAGAGUAAUUGCAGUAUUUUCAACAACUGACUUGUUUACCCCUUGCUGAUCAUACACACAUGAGAUAAUGGUAUCAACAUGAUCGUCAAGGCACUAAUGCACAAACACGUAAUUAUGUGGUAAAAGUACCAUGGAGACCCUAUCCUAGGUGUCAGGUUAGAUUUUGCCUCCUCUACUUAAAUAAUGAGAAAAUUAGCCCUAUGCAUUAGAUCAAAGGGCAAAUUGAUCCUUUUUGUUAAAAAAUUCAUCUAUUUCUACUGUUAAAAAUUGGCAUGGAUGACAAAAUAACCAAACAAUGACAUAUGGUAUGCCACAUGUAUCUCAUGCUGACGACAGAGAGCAGUUUUUAGAAGUAGAAAUGGAUGAAAUUUUUACAGAAUGACCAAUUUACUCUAUGAUCUAUUGUACAGGGACUUAUUAGCCCAUUUUUUGAGUAGAUAGGUAAAAUUCAAUCCUGCUCCUAGUACAAGAGCCUCCAUGAUACUUUUACCAUAGUUAUGUUUAUAUGGGCAUGCAAGCCAACAAAUUUCACCAACAAAAAGGGAAGAUUACCUCUGCAUGCUGAAGGAUAGGAACCAAACAUGAGAUCACUGUCAUGACAACCGGAGAAAUUUCUUGACGAACCUGAAAUUAAAGUCGAAUAGUCAGUGACGAUAAAUGAGGGAAAACAAGACAUCAAAGAAACCAAAGGGGGGUGUAAACUCAAGAAGGUGAAUGAAGAGCACACAUACCUUAAUUGCUAGCUCUCCAAUGGCCCAACAUGCAUUGUUUGCCACUGCAAUGGUUUCAUUUAACUUGGGAGUGGUCUGCAUGGGGGAUAUACUAUGUAACACUAUAAAGAUGGUAAACUGAGAUAUGGAAUUCCAAAAUGAAACUUUACCAAUUGGUUAGUUGCAACAUUAAGAAAUUCAGACAAACGAGGACGCAAAUGAACAGGGCAAACCUAAUCAAAUUCAACAUAUGAAUAAAGUGGAUCAGCUUGGACCACGCCAAAAGGGGGGAGGGGGGAUUAUGAAAAAAGGGUGGUUUCGAUUUGAACUUACUUUUGCAAGGUCCCCAACAAGUGCAAAGGCACUUUGUCGCACAUCGGAAUCAUCAUCCAUACAACAUUGCAAAAGCAGGUCCCUCAAAUUGCUCUGUGCAACCUGCAUAUAAGGUCUAUGUGAACAGCACAAAACAUACCAGUUCACAUUGUAAUAUAACAUAUUUACCAAUAUCUAGACCACAUGUUUUUUUCAUCAAGAGCAAAGGAGAAAGCAAGUACCAGACUCUCUAUUCCGCCUUGAAGGCCCUCUGUAAGUCCAGAGAGCAAAUCAAGUGAGCACACAAUGAACUCCUUAUCAUACUGAACUCCAGCUGAAAUAGGAUCAACCUGCAAUAGAAAUUUCUAUCAAUGUCUUCAAAAAACUAUGUCGGAGAAACAACGGUAGUUGUAGUAACAUUAUUAUGCAAAUAGAAUAGUAUGUUGCAUGGCAGAUCAUGUAGUUGUUCUGAGGUAAGAUUCCAAAGAUAGAGAUUGUAGUAACUUUCUAGCUGAUUCAUCAGAACUAGUGAUUUUAACAACAGCAUUAUGCAAAAAGAAUUUCAGCUGUUGGACAUGUUUGAAAUUACGGAUAGAUGCUCUUAAUUUCUCUCAAUAUCUACAGUAUCUUUACUGUUAAUGCUAAUUAGAUGGAAGUAGCACAAGUUGAAAGAAAGGUUCUGUACUUAGGUAAAAGUACCAUGGAGGCCCAUAUACUAAGAGUCAGGUUGCAUUUUGCCCAUUUACUCAAAAAAUGGGCAAAUUAGCCCCCGUAUGUUAGAUUAAAGAGUAAAUUGGUCCUUUUUGUAAAAAAUUUCAUCCAAUUCUACUGUUAAAAACUGAUGUGGUUGACGAAAUAACCAAACAGUUACACAUGGCAUGCCACGUGCACCUCAUACUGACGUACAUAGACCAGUUUUUUAACAGUAAAAAUGGAAAGAAUUUUUAACAGAAUGUCCAGUUUGCUUUUUGAUCUAACAUACAAGGACUAAUUUGCCCAUUUUUUUCAUAGAGGGGACCUCCAUGGUACUUUUACCACUGUACUUAAUAUAUAUACUACAAAAUGUAAUUUCACAUGCAUUGUCUAAACAUCUAUACAUCAAAAGCAAACACAUGCUACCGUUAUAUCAUCAAUAAAAUUAACCAGGUAACGGAACAGAAAACAAGCCACUCCGCAAGGCACUAGUCAAUAUACUGCUUAAUGGAAGAGAUCAAUCACAUUUGAGUAAAAAAUAUAUAGGAAAUCAUUGGCCAACCAUGAAGGGCAGAGAACACAAAUGAAAAACUGAUUCAACAUGAUUGUCGAUUAGUAGAAAUUAACAGUCGAUUUAUAAAAACCUUGGCCAGUUGUUGAGUCUGGAUGAUAUUUAUGCACCUCUGGAAUACAGGCUGAUCAAAUUGAGAGAAUCCAGUACCCAAUGCCUGAAAAAGUAAAAUACAUUAAUCCUAAUGGUAACUCUACUAAAAAUUUGUACAGACAUCAUAUUGUUGAAAAAUAUAGCAAAUUUCUUAAACAAGGGAUUAGAUUACAAGAACAAGGAGGACAAAAUAUAUCUGCUAAUAUCAGUAUAUUGAUGAAUAAAGCUUAGAAAUGCAUAAAACCGGAGUGAUAUAUCCUAAUAAUAAAUUGUUCUAAAAAGUUAUGGUGAUUAGCUGAUUGCAGAUUAAAAGAAUUACGUACACUGAUUGUUUGUACUCACUUCUAUGUUUAGUUGCCCAUCUAGGCAAUAACUACUUAUAAAAGAAAUAAAUAAAUGAAAAGGUGAAAGAACAGUUAACCGACCUGUGCUAUGGACGUGAAGCACUCCAGCAGUCGAAGGAGAUCUUUGUCAGAAUUUGAAACCUGCUGCCACUUCGCAAUGAGUGGUGGCAUCAGAAUUUCAAGAUAAACUGGCUGCAAAUGAUAAAGCCAGUCAAUGGGAGAGAAUCAUCUUACCACAAACAAAUAAAACCCACCAAAAAGUGAAAUAACUUUUGAGCAUAACAAGGCUAAUAUAGAUUAGAAGGAAGAUACAAAAGUUUGAGGAACAUGGUUAUCAUCUUUAGCAGUAGCAUACUGAAAUACCUGAUUCAAUUUCUCUCCAACAGCAUCCGCUAGAGUUCCAAUAGCAUCAUAAACAAUUCUAAGAUUCCGUCUCUGUAAAUGUUUAUACACACAUAAGUAAGCAAGAAGUUUUAUCCGAUGGUGAUGAUAAAGCAGCAUAUGGUAUUAAAGGAAGGCAACAACUGACAGUACCAGGUCUCAUAUAAGUCAUAAUUGCAACACUAAAAACAGCUUAUUAUAAUGUAGUGGCCAUCAAACAAACCUGAUACUUGCCAAAAGCGCACAUAAGAUGCUGUAAAAUUACUUCCAACCUCGGUGCCAACUCUUCAGCAGCCUCCUGAAAAUAAAUAAAACAAUUUUUAUAUUAUUGAAGUAAUGGGAGGAUUAUGAAAUGACUCCACUUGAUUUAUUGAUAUAAACCUCUAUAAACUACACUAUUAGAUAUCGAUAAGAAUUUAAAUCCUAAAACCAACAAUUCAUGCAGCAGAUUCAUAACAACCUCUUCAAGUGUUGCAAAAGCUGAACAAGCAGCCUCUUGCACCCGCUUGUUAAUAUCCAAUAUUCUUCGCAGGAGACCCGUAAGAACUGAGUCGAAUUGCUCAUACCCUUUUUUAUUACCACUAUCCUGAGAUAAAUGAAACAUUAGUCACAACCACAGAAUUCUGUGAAGUGAUAUGCACCAAGAACAAUAGCUGAAUAAUAGCCAAAAAGAUUUCAUCUGUACCUGAACAAUGUAUUUGCUGAAUCGAGAAAGUGUCCAACAAGAAAUACUCCUUAUGAGUGCAAACUUAUCAUCUAAAAGGGGAAUUAGAAAUGCUACAAUCUGCACAUAUAAAUAUGUUUUUCUAUCAAUGCAAGUAUGCAACAAGCAGCAUGACAAAUAGGAGUAAAAUAAAACCAUUGCUAAAAGCGGUGAUUAUAAAUUUAAGAGCACAAUUUUAUUUAAUGAAAACAGAUGAAUCAAAAACGUAGACAAAAACAAUAAUUACCUCAGACAAAUGAGGAUAAAGACCAUUAAUGCAACCUUCAGCAAUUGCACCAAGAGUCAACACGGCAGCUUCCCUAUCUUUCCAAGCUUCAUCACCACUAGCAGAUAACUUGGCCUGCAGAUUCAACAGUUAAGACCAUGUAACUAA